GAGAGAGUAAGAAUUAGAAGUAGGUAAAUAUUAUUUUAAUAUAUAUAAAAGAAGGGUGAGAAAUACAGAGUAAUGGCCCAUGCCCCAUACUCGAAAGGACCCAUUCUGAGAACCAGCACCUAACAAUUUCACCCCUUUUAUGAUACACAUUCAUUAUUCCUUAUCACCAUAUUGCAGAUGAUUGAUUACAAUUUCUGAACAGACUCGAAUAAGAAAUCAUGAAAUUUUUUGCUGUUUUUGUUUUCUUAUCUCAGUACUGCAAUAUAUCUGCAGAAGCCAUGAUAGGGUGGUUCAGAUACCCCAUGUUCAUGGGGUUGAAGAAGGUGGUGUUAUUGGUGGUUGGUUCAACGAAGGUGGUGCUGCCAAAACCCGCAUUUAGGACUUCGAUGAUCUCGUUCAGAGACUCUAACCUGUGGCUCAGCUCACCCACCUGAGCCCUGAGCACCGAGUUCUCAGCCUCAACGCUCAAGAACUGCUGCGUGGUGAUGUUGACGGUGGUCAGUAUCUGCUGAUUCUCCUUUCUCAGCUGAGCCACUUGGGUAACCAGAUCGUCCAAGUGCUUCUGCUUCCUCAUGCGAGAUCGCCGUGCAGAUUCGCGAUUCGAUAUCAUUCUCUUCCUCUUUCUCUGAUCCAUUACCGCUUGCAAGUCCUCCUCAGAGCCCGAGUUCUGAAGCAGAGAGGAUGAACCCGAACAUGUUCCACUUGAGGAAGCCAUGGUAUGAGACACAGGACAACACAACACAACACAAUACAAUACAAUACAACACAACCCUUCUCAGUUAACACAGUUCGCAGGACCCAGACACUAGACACGAACAAACUCUGAAAAUUAUUACUUUAUGACGACGACGAAGACGAUAAUGAUAAUGAAAAUAGAAAUAUAGCAGUAGAUAUUAUAGAUUUAUAUGAUAUAUAGUAAGUGAUAUAGUGAGGAAGAGUUAGAAAUCAUGAAACGUAGUACAACCAAUAGAGGAAGGCAACUGAGAAGGAUUGAACUAAAUGGGUCCUGCGCCUAACAGUGGAAUUGAUCAUACACCCGGAAAAGAAGAGCUCACUGAGAAUCGAAUACAUGAAUCUCAAACAUCAACAACAAGAUGUUGGACAUUUAAUUUGCGCUUCUAAUAUCUACUUCCUGGAGAGGAGAAGGAAAAAAUUGAGUCAAAAUUCUCCAACCCAAUUUCGUAAAGUUUCAAACUUUGGUGCUGAAAAAUGGAAAGGGGUGAGAUUUGUUAUGUGGGGUUUGGGAUGAUGAACAUGGUGAGGUUGAAGAGAAGGUGUUUGAUAGAAAGUCAGUGUGAGAUGUGGAAGAAAGAGAAAUAUCUAUAUAUGUGUGUCUGGGUAGCGAUAUGUGUAGAGUGUGAUGGGAAAGAGGGAGAGAGAGGAAGAGGAGUGUAUGUGAAUGAAGGGAGGAAUUUAUAGAAGGGAAAAAGGCAUCAAGUUGGUGAAAAUAAUUAUUAAUUAUGAAAUCCUAGAGAAGGAAGAAAGAAAGAAGCAAAGUAGGGUGUAAUUUACUUUGGGAUCACUUCAUGAGAAAACAAGUUGAAAAGCUUGAAUUUAUUAGAAAAAAGUGUGAGAGUGAUGAUUUUAAUGGUUGAUUAAAGAGAUUGGUGGAAGGUGAGAAGUAAAAUUGUAACAGUGUAGGAGAGAAGAAGAAGAAGACGCCACAAGUGUCCAGAGAUACUACAGCUGGGAACCAACAAUCACAGAAAAUGAUGAUCACAGUUUGAGAUACAUCCAAAACUGGCAUCACACUCUCACUCCAACACAUUACUGUUUCAGGAACUUCUCUAUGUCUACGUAUCCAUUACUACUACCAUCAAACCUCUAUCUUUUACUUCAAAUACAAUCACAUAAUGUAAUUAAGAUGUAAAACUAAUCAUAUUCUUUUCUUAUAUAAUAUAUAAAAUGAUAGUCAGACAACAAUUUUUUAUAUUAUUUUAAUAUUAUUUAUAUCUUAUUUAUUAUUAAUUUAUAAUGAUAUUCAUAAUUAUUAUUAUUGAUUAUAAAAUAAUUUUGAAUAUAUAUAUAAUUUGUUAAUACUUAUAUAAAUUAUACAAUAUUAUCGUCUUUCAAUAAUCAAACGGUCAAUACAUCUUGAUUUAAUGUGAAACAUAUAAUUUAUUAAACAUUCAAACCAUAGAUAAAAUUAGUAAUAAAAAUAAUUAUGAUAAUUUUAAUUUUAAUCAUUAUAAAAUUAAACGAUAUUCAAAUUAAUACUAAUAUGAAGUCCAUUAAAAAAUUCACAAUAUAUAAUUGAUUGCUUUUAUUAGUCGUGUAUUACAAAAAUAUUUAAACAAAUACUAAUUUUCAUCAAAAUGUUUUCUACAUAUAAAUUUUGACAUUAUUUAUUUAAAAAUAAUCUCAUAAACCGAAACAUAAAUAUUUACAAUAUACAUAAAAAAAAAUAUUACUUUUGUAAUUUUGUAUAAUUCUUUUAAAUUUGAUUAAAGAAAAACAAAAUCCGUUUCUGAUAUAUACACCACUGAUAGAGUAUAAAAUCAAUUAUAUAAUUUUUUAUACCAUUUAACUAUUAUGUAUGUCAUCACAUUAGUUAAUACGGUUAUCUGUAUUCUUAGUUUUACCGAGAACUACGAAAAAGGAGAGAGUGUAAUCUACUCGCUUAAAGAAUAGUACAAAAGAAAUUAUGAAGUAUGUUACACUUAUCAUCGUUUAGUUAAUUAUCACCUUCUUAUUAAUCAAAUAUAACUAAUUACACCAUUUAUAAAUCUAACUAAUAUUGUCAUUUUAUGUAUUUUAUUUUAUUAUUUAUAUAGAUCCGAAAAAGAAUUAUAAUUUUUAAAACUUAUUUUAAACCACAAAGAGAUAUUGUUCUAGAGAAGCAUAUAUUUACUUGAAUGAUAUUCUUUAGGACGAAAUAAUGUGCUAAGGAAUAAAUUUUCUUUCUCUAAUUUAAGCAUUUUUUUUUAAUUUCAAAUAAAGUAAAAUGAUUAAUCACAACAAAGUUUCCCUUUUUUUAAUUUAGUAAAAUGAAAAAUAUUUAAAUUUUAAAAUAAUAUUAUCAAAAAAAGUUAUAUAAGCUGUUGAAACGAGAGGAAAUUAAUCGAUAUAUAAAAUUAAGUCAAAUAAAUGAUUUUCAACAUUAUAUAUUAAAUUCUUUAUUUUAAAAGUCCAAAUUUAAAGAAAAAUGGUUUCAAAUGGAAAAUAUAAUAUUUAAAAUACGAAAAGAGAUAAUUUAUUUUGAGAAAGAAUAAUUGCAAGGGCAUUAUUUCUAAUAAUAAAUAUUUAUCAUGUAAAAUGGAAAUGUCUUAUAUUUUACAUAAAAUAUACUUGUUUUAUUUGUUUGCAUGACUAAUUCAAUUUGGUGAAGAUAACAUUGAUGUAACGACAUGUGAUUAUGUGCAACAUAAAUUAUUUUAGUUGACAUUGCUUGAACAAAGUAACUUAUUUUAUAUUUUUGAGUGAAUUUGUGGUCCCUCAUAGAGUGAAAACCUCUUUCACAACAUAAUCAUAUGUCUGACCAAUUAAAUGAUCCUCCACUUUUUCUAGUGCUCGUGAGUCCUACGGAAAAACAUUUCAAAAAUGGUAUGUUUAACUUUAAUAAAUAAUAUAUAUAUAUAUAUAUAUAUAUAUAUAUAUAUAUAUAUAUAAUAUUUAUUAGUAAUUUGAGAUUACUUAAAAAAAAAUAAUUUUGAUUUAAACUUUUGAUUAUUUGAAAAUUGAUUUUUUCAUAAAUACUUUAAUUGUUUAAAAAAUAUUAUAUGAAGUUUUCUUAUAAAGUAUAUUUAUGUAAUAGGUGUUGAAAAUGUUUAAUUUUUAUUCAAAUUCUAACUGAUUUGUUUCUUUUUCAUCAUUUCAAAAGAUCUCUUAUUAAUAGAAUUGAUGAGUAUGUAAAUUUAUGUCUAUUAUUAUUUUAUUUAAUGUGAAAUUUUGUUUAUAUUCAACCAUAGAUAAUUAGAUUUAGAGCUGUCAAAACGAGUAAUCCGACCCGACCUACCACGAGUUGGUCACUUAGUGAAUCAACCCAACCCGACUCAUUUAUUAGCGAGCAAGAAAUAUCUGAACCUAACUCAACCCACCACGGGUUGGUGGGUAAACGGGUUGGCUCACUAGCCCAUUUAAUUAGUUUUUUUAAAAUAAAAUAAAAAAUUACAAAUUUUUUAUAUUCAAAUUUAAACAAAUUUCACUCCCAAAAAUGAUAUUAAAGUGAAGACAAUUCAAAAUAAUAAUAAAAAGUAAAUAUUAUUCAAAUGUCACAAAAAAACAUACACAAAAAAAACUGCUCCUUGUAAAAUUUUAGUGAAAGUCACAACACCGUAAAUGAGAGCAAGUUUCGUGAGAGUGAUAUGUGAGAGCAAAUGUUACGUUUUUGGUAUACACAGUGAGUGAGUGAAGAGAGUACUUUACUUUUUAGGGUUUCAUAAAUAAAAUAAUAAAUUAAAAAAAUAAAAUUAGAUAGGUGGGUUGGCGGGUCAACCCGGCCCACCACGGGUUUAACCCGCACGAACCAAGUUUAAAUGAGUCGGGUUGAAAUAAAAUAAAUUCAAUUUUUUCAAACCCAACCCGAUCCAAACCCGUUAUAAACCGGAUUGACUUGUAGAUUGUGACAUGUUUUGACGGCUCUAAUUAGAUUCAAGUAAAAGAUGGCUAAAAACAAUGAAAUGGAAAGUAAUUUGUGUGGUAGAAUAAAAGAGAAAGAAAGUUAAUAAAAAAACAUACAAAAGAUUAUCUUUCAUUGAUUUUGUAUAAUGGUAACAAAAUGUCGAAUCUAUUGUAUCUUAAAUUUAUCGAAUAAAAUCGUUAAGAAAAUUUCUAUAAAUAUUAUUCAUUUUAAAAAUAAAAAUAAAAAAUAAAUUCCUACUUAAAUAAUUAAGUACUGAAAAAAAAAAUAACUUUUUCCCCCUUUACUUUUGUAUUUUUCCUAAAUCAAAUAUUACGUGAGUGUAAGAAUCUAUCCAAAUCAUAUUAGACAAUUGCCACUACCAUCAGUUUUGGAAUGUACAACUAUACAAUAAUAGUACGAAAAUUGGUGACAUUAUGUACCACAAAUCUCACCAAAUAGUUGAACGAACAGUUCAAUUUAAAAACAAAUCAACAUCGCAUUACAAAAUAUCACUCAGUAAGUAUGCUUCAACUUCAAAGCAGACAUUUUUAUGUUGUGAAUUCUACGUCUACGUAUUCCCAUAUACAGUACUAGGAAUAUAAUUUAAUAUUUAAAGUAUUAUUAAAAAAAAUUAAAAUGAUAUUUUCGUUAUCAUUUUAUUUCGGAAAAUUACACAAGCCGGGGCUGCUCUUUUUGUUAAUAAAAUAUUUUAAUCAUUAUUCCUUUAAAAUUUUAUAUUAAUUAAAACAAUACCGAUUACAAUAUAUAACACGAGAAAUGCUGAAUUUAUCGCAUUUAAUAUUUGAUAAAAUAUUCUUAAUUUUCACAUUUAAUCUCAUUAAUCUAAAAUACUGAAGUUCAAUUAGACUUAAUUUCAUUACUUUAAGAACGUACCAGUGGUCCAAAUUUGAAUCUCUCAACAAAAUUUCAACAUUAUAUUUUCUCAAACUAUUUAUGUCAAGAUUGUUUUAAAAAAAGUGUGAUUAAUUUUCAUUUUUAAUCAUAUUAUAAAAAUACUGGCCAGAAUCGGUUAACUAUUAAUAAAAAGGAUUAAAUAUGUUUUUAAUCUGGGACGAUUUUGGUUUUAAUUUCUUUUUUAAACUAAGGUAUAAUUUAGUCCUUCAACUUUAUAAAAUUCUGGUUUUAGUCUUUUUUAUCAAUUUUUGUUAAUUUUAUUUGUUAUUUCAAGCACGUUUCAUUAUAGCAUUUGGAUUAUUUACACUUUUGACACAUUUUUGUUUCAAUGUUAAUUGAGAAACACAUUUAAAAUAGCAAAUAAAGUUAAAAAAAUUUCAUAAGAAAAACUAAAAACAGUUUUCUAAAAUUGAAAGACUAUUUUAGUUUCAAAGAAGGAUUAAAACCAAAAUAUCCAGAACUAAAAACAUUAUAGUGUACCGAUUAAAGUGGCAUACACGCGAGUGCAGAACUGUUGAUGGUGCGCGUGACACUUGCUUCCAUAUUCUUGUCUGGUGGGCACGAAAUGUCGUUGUCGCCCACACGCAAGAGGGGGCGCUUGCACAACACAGACGGUAGGAGUGUGGCGAGUGGCGAAAACGUGCCACUAAGUAGAGUGUAGAAUCUAGACUAGGUAAUGUUCUGACACGAGUCACUUUUUCAAUUCAGAAAAUUAUUAAUAAUUAAUUAAAAUAUAAAAUACUACAACCGAGAUGGGAUGUGGCCUUGGUUGGUGUGCCCUACCAAUUCAAUCUCGCUUUUCAGAUCUGGGCCCCACCACCCUCUCAUCAAUCUGUUUUUCCAAUGUUACCCUUUUACCUUAUAAUUGUUUUUGCCAGCAUUAAAUAUGUUUUUACUUCUUAUAUUUUAAGACGAUUUUGGUUGUAGUUUCUCUUUCAAACUAAGGUACAAUUUAGUUCUUUAAUUUUAGAAAAUUUUAGUUUUAAUUAUUUUUACCAAAUUUUUUUAACUUUAUUUGCUUUUUCAAAAUCGCUCCAAAAUAUAUGGACUAAAAACAUAUUUAAUCUCAAUUUAUUUUAAUCUAAAAUAUAAUUAUCAUUAAUUAAAUAAAUGGUGAAACAUGUCUUUUUUUUUUAAAUUAAAAUGAAUAUUAGACAUUAUAUAUAUAUAUAUAUGAUUUUAAUAUAAUUAAGUCUCAAAAUUUUAAAAAAUGUAUAUAAUGUUUUUAAUUCAACUUAGUUAAAUUUUUUAGAUGUGUUAAAUGAUAUUUGAACUUUUUACUGUAUUCAGUACCGUGUGUUCGACAUUUUUUUUUUUAAAUAGUUAAAUUAAAAUGGCUACAUUUGUUAUGUUUUAAAUUUAAAAAUUAAAAUAUACUAAAAUUUAAAAAAGAAACAUAACUUGAAUUUACAUUCAAAUUUAAAAAUUAAAAACAUAUUUAAUUUUUUAUUAAAAUUAAACAAAUUCUUAUUUAAUUUCAAACACGUUAUAAGAUUUCUGUCACUACAAUAAAAGCUUUAUUCCGAAAAAUAAAUUAGGUAGAGGCCGUUUGAGUAAACAUUUUGUUAAAAUAUAUUAUUUAAGAAAAUAAAACAUCCAAAUGAUGCAUGCCAUUUUCAGUUUACAAUAUGUUUUCUAAAUUAGAUAUACAUGUACUUAAUAAUGUUGGAGACACACCUGAAUAUAUACUAAAUUAUUAUGAACAUGUCGACCGCAUGUAAUUCUUAUCUUUCUAUUUUACUUUGUAAGAAAAAUUCAAUAAUCAUAUUCUAUACUUUGAAGUAAAGGAAAAACAACAUUUGACUUCAAAUAAAUAACAAUCUAAUUGUCACAAGCCUUAUACAAAACAUGUAGUAGUAUAUAAAUAAACUCUUACAUUGAUAAAACAAUAAAUAUAUAUAAAAUUAUGUAUAUAAGACAGUUUUAUUAAUAACAGAUCUUUUUUAAAUACUACUAAAAAUAAAUUCAAAUUUGUGAGAAUUUAAUUUAAAACGAACAAUAUUUUAUUAAUAGGAAAAAUCUAUACAUUUUAUUGUCAAAAUUGAUCACCUGACUCGAUUCGGUUUAGUUCAUCAUUGGUUGAUUACUUAGUGAAUCAACAUAAUUCGGUUCAUUUAUUAGUGAGUCAGAAAAAUUUGAAUUCGGUUCAGUCUAUCACGAGUUUGUGGGUUAAACAAGUUAGUUUACUGAUUAUUUAAUUACAAUCUUUUUAAAUAAAAAAUAACAAAUUUUUCUAAAUUUUCAUAAGAUAAGAAAUUAAUAAAAUAAAAUUAGGUGAAUUGAUCAGCCAAUUCGACUCACACUAAAUUCAAUCCUGAAAAAUUGAAUUUAAAUAAACUAAAUUAAAAAUUAAACCACAUAAAAAAAAUAUUUUUUCAAAUCUAACUUAAACCGAACUUGUGUAAAUCAAAGAACUUCGUAGAUGAAAUUGAUUUACAGGUCGUAAUCUAUUUUCACAGCUAUAAUAUAUUGUAAACCUCGUUGUAUUUGAUGGAGAUAGGUUUUUCCCUACAAGAAGAUUAUGAAAUUGAACUCUGUUGAUGUCUUUCCAUAAUUUUCUUCCAUGGGUUGUUCCUGUUGUUUCUUUUUAUUUCCACCACUGAGAUCUUGGGUCUCUUGUACACGUCAAUAUUAAUUCUUCGUGUGAUUUCAACUUUCUAGAACAUCAAUGAUGUAAUAACAGUUGCAAUGAUAUUUGUAUGGUGACCAUGAAAAAUUUCCUUUUUAAUUAUUAUUAAUGGAUGGUCAAACAGCACAGUGCAUAGAUUUUAAUCUGCUAAGAGCCAUAUGAAUAUAGGAUGUUAAGGACCAUGGCUUUGGUAAUUGAAAAGGUAAAAAGGUAGAAAGUGGACAAAGACACAGAAGAAAGAAAGAGAAAAUCUUGGCUUUCAGUGUCUGACGAAUUGCAAUUGCAACCACCCAUAUGUGUGUAUGUUUAUGCAUGCUUUUCUUAUCAGUGAAGGCAAUGUUAAAAAUAUCAUUGCAUUUAAUGUACUGCACCAACCAAAAAAUAAAUGUUCAGGACAAUUUCUCUAGAAAACGACAAUUCUAUGUUGUCGACAACGAUGUUAUGGUUAUGGUCACUCUCUACGAUGCUUUCUAUCAAUUAUGCACAAUUUUCGCUCUUUCAAUUUCAAUAACGUAUUGCCAAAUCCUAGUCCCUUUCUCAUUCUGUGGACUUUUUCCCUCAAUAGUUUAUACAUUAAACAAUUAUUAUGAUAAAUAUUUAUGGUAACAAAUCAAUUUUAGGGUUAAAUAUCGUUUCAAUCCUUAUACUUUGAUGUAAUUUUGGUUUUAGUCUCUCUUUCAAACUAAAUUACAAUUUAGUCCUUCAACUUUAGAAAACUCUGGUUUUAGUCAUUUUUAUCAAUUUUUUUUAACUUUAUUUGUUCUUUCAAGCAUCUUUUAUUAUAGCAUUUGGAUUGUUUACACUAUUUGACACAUUUUUGCUUCAAUAUUAACUGAGAAACGUGUUUGAAACAACAAAUAAAGUUAAAAAAAUUUGGUAAAAAGGACUAAAACCAGAGUUUUUUAAAGUUGAAAGAUUAAAUUGUACCUUAGUUUUCAAGAGGGACUAAAACCAAAAUCGUCCCAAAAUAUAGGGACUAAAAACAUAUUUAACCCUAAAUUUUAUAUUUAACUUUACAAAAUUUUAUAAUUUCAAAAAUUUGAAAUCACUCUCUAUCCAUAUCUUUAAACAAUAAAUUAAUUAUUCUUUUAUCUAUAUAUAAUAUUUUACCUUUUAUUUUUAUCCAACACGAGACUUCACUUUAAUUUCUAACAAUUUCGUGUACGAGACUGUAAAUAAAUGAAAGGUCUAAUAGUGACCUAAUGGUAAAUAGAAUAACAUAUUUAAUAAAUACAAAAUUUACUAUAAUAAAAUACAUGAAAAAUUGAAUUUUAAACUUAAUCUAACUUUACAAAAUCAAUUUAUAAAUAGUAAAAUAUCUUAUUUUUAAUCAAUGAAAAUUCUAACCAUUUAUAUAAAUAAUAUGAUUUUCUUUAACUUAUAAUUUUAUUUUCGACAAAUCUUAUUCUAAAUUAGGAUAGAAAAGAAAUGGGCUGAAAAAUAGCUUUAUUUUUUUUAAUUAUUAAAAAAAAGGAAGAAGAAAAUUUUGAAAAGAACAUUGUAAAAAGUAAACGUUCAGAAUUUGAUUGUCUAAGUAUUGAAUUCUGACCUUAAAAAAUACAUACUAUCUAUAAAAAUAGUAUUUGGGUGAAGAAAAUUAUAUAUUUCUUCCUGGUACAUUAUAACACAAAAAAGGUAGUUCCUUCGUGCACUUCUAUGUAUUUCUUCCUGCACCUGCAUAAUUUAUUUAUUUUUUCAUUUCAUUGUACAAUUUCGAGGUAAUUUUUUGACUUUUGAUGGUGUAAUUCGGAAGUAAAAAAAAAAAAAUCCGCAUCAUAAUAUCUGAAAUUUAUUUUAAAUAGUUUUCAUAUUUGAAAGAUAACAAUGACUUCCAAAAUGUAUAAUUUGAAAGUUUUUUUUUUUUUUUGAGAAAAAUAACUGUCUAAUUUACAUUAUCCAGAAGUCAUUUGGUUUAUGGAUUACACAAUAUUGUGAAAUUCAAACUGUUAUGUAAAAUCGAAUUGCAAUUACCCAUUUUGAAGUAAUGUUAAAGAUAUAUAGUUAAUAAUUAUAAAUUAUAUGAUUUUUUACAUCACUAUUACGAAAAAUAUUGAAUUUUUAUCAUAUAUGAUAUUUUACAGUGGAUAGAAGUUUUACGAUGUAUUUUCAUAACUUGUUUUUAAUCAACCUUUACGUGACAUCGUUAAAGUAUUUGAGUUAAAAAUAAUAAUAGAUUUUAAUUAUAUGUCAUGCAAGAGAGAUAAACUUAAAUUACACAGUCCACCUUCUUCAAAUAAUUUUCCUAACAAGCUUUUUCUUAUAUUAUAUAUUUAAAAUAUCUGUGGAAAAUAUUUAUUAAGAGAUAAAAUUAGGAUUUAAAAGUAAUUUAAUAAUAUAAAAACUGUUAUUAAAUUAAGAUUUUUCAAUGUUAUAAAUAAGUUUACUGAGAUAUCCGAAGGUGUGCUAAUGGAAGGGACCUCCCAUGAUAGUAGAUUGCCCAAAAUUAAUAUUUAAUUUUGAGGCCCAAUUAGGAACCCAUUGGGCUAUCUGGUUGGAUAUCGCAGUUACAAUAAAUUUAGGGGAGUUACACCCUGUACCUCCCCGGUUGCAACCCCCACCCCCCCAAUUUUUUUGAACUUUUUUUUAAAUACAAAAUUAACCUUUAUGUUUUUUUUUUUACCCAUUUACCCCUAUUUAACCUACCUACAGUAACCCUCCUCUUUUACCCCUCUUUUACAGUAUGAGAGAUUCUCUUCGUAUUCCCCACCCCCACCCCACCAUUUUGAAACCUCCCUCUUCCAAACUCUGCAACUCUCCCAUUCUCUCACUCUGCCACUUCGUAUUCUCACUUUCCCACUCCUCUCUGUUUGUGCGGCUGUUGUGCGGUGGGGUUGUGGUUGCUGCUCUGGUGCGGCGGCGCAGAGGGUGUUGUGCGGCGGUGUUGCGGCGGUGCAAGGCGUCGACAGGUUAGUUUCUUAUAAUUUUUUUUUUUUUAAACGUAUGCAAUGUGUAGUGUAGGAUUGGGUAUGGUUGGUGUUUCUGUUUGUUCUGUCAUCUCUGUUUGUGUGCAUUUGGUUGGUGUUUUUGUUUCAGUUUUUUCAUCUCUGUGUGUGCAUUGAGGAAGAAGACAGGCACGAAACGAAUGUUGUUAUCCGUCCACGGAUGUCGACAUCCGUUACAUAUUUUUAUUUUUUAAUUUAUUUUAUAAAUAAUUAUAUUUUAAUUAUUUUAACUUUUUGGAGCAUUUGGUAUAUAUAUACCUGAAGCUGAGACUCAAGGAAAUGAAUAAUGGUGGCAGGGAUGAUGCCCCUGAUGCCACCACCAUCGAUGCUAAGAAUGGUGACUAAGUUUCCAUAAGUUGGAGGCUGAAUUUGUUCAACGGAUGACUCUGAUCUCUCCAUCUCUCUGAAUAAAGANACGCUNANAUCGAAGGNUGUAGUUUCCUUACGAACAGAAAGAAUUGUGAAAGAAGGAGCAAAGGGUAACUAAGAGAGAUUGAGGCUUGUGUGGUUUUUUGGUAGGCAUUGUUGUAGUAUUUAUAGUGGUAGGUGGACCCAUUAAAUAUUGAUAUUAGUUGAGAGUUUAUUUAAUUGAAUUCAAAAGAGUAGAAAAGUAUUUAAUAUGGAAUAGGAAGACACAAUCAAAACUGAGAUGUUAGGCCUAAUAGGACACAUUCCUCUGUUGUUUUAAAUGGCUAUUAUCCAAACGACAUAACUUUCCUAAACAUGCAGUAUAACCCGAUGGCGAUGGCUAUAAGUAUAUGAUAUAGUAUAAUAAUAUUUAUGUUUAUGUUUAAAAAAUAUAUAUAUAUAUAAGGGCAAUGUAUUUAAUUGGAUAAAUAAAAAUAAAUAGGUUAUGUGGGGGUGGGAGAAUAAAAUUAUAAAAUUGUAUUUUUAAAUAUAAAUUUUUGAUAAAGGAUAAAAUUGGAAUAGAAAAAAUAGAGAAAAGGGUAAAAAUGGAAUGGGGGGGUGGGGGUUAGAAUUGGGGAGGUGCAGGGAGUAACCCCCUAAAUUUAGACCGUUUCCUGCAUCUCCAAAAAUUUCUUCUUGCACCCUUAUAAAUUUUUAUAUUAUAGUUCACCCAUUCUUUCUGUAUUUUCCAUGUACAAAUAAAAAGUAGCAACACUGUUAAAUUGAAUAUAUAUAUAUAUGAGGUUUGUUAACACGCGUACGCCUGUUUUUCAGUUGAUACGUUUUAACCAUGUGUAUUGGAUUAUAGUAGACAAAAAUAUCCUCAUUUAUCAUGGACUCUAAGUUUUAAGGUCAAGGAUAUUUAAAUAAUUUUCAUUUUCAAAACUAAAAAAAAAAAAAAAAACUUACUCACCUCCCUCAUUCCUCUUAACCCUUUCUUUUUCAUCUCUCUCACUCCAACAUUUUCUCUGUUAUCCUUACUGUUCCCCCAAUUGAAAAAAAAAAAUCAGAAACCCUUGCCUAACCCUAAUCUACCUUCCUCACUUAUCCAAUUUAUUUCUCUCUCGUCUCCAUACUCUCCCUCGGCCACACACAACAACUCGUGACAUCGUAAUUUGUUGCUCUUGCUCUGUUCGUUCAUUUGGAGGAUGUGUUAUAUAUUUUCCCUUCUUAUUAUUAUUAAAUUUCAAUUUUAAAUUAAAUCAUUUAAAUAAAACCUUCAUAAAUCAAUUAAUUUUUCAUACAUUAUUUACACAUCUACACCACAUUUCAUUAUAUUUUUAAAGAACAAGAUAUUUCCCUCUAUUGUCCUUUUCCCUUUACACAAAGUGUUUCUUUUUACUUUCUCUAUUGGUAUGAGAUACAUGAUGUAAGAUUACAACCUAGAAUUGAAAGAAUUGUACUCGUAGGGAGUUCUUCUAUACCUAUUUCUUUAAUUUCCUUAUGUCUCUUUUUUAUCACUGAAUCAACUCCUAUAGGCGACAGUAAAAUCAUUUUUUACUUUUGAAAUUUUGAAAAGUGAUAUAAAGUGACAAAUUUUAUAUUCAUUUUACACAUUAAUAAAUAUAAAAUGAUUACAAGAGAGUAAACUUUUUCGAUUUUUAAAAAAUAUCUCCGAUUCAAAUUACCACCACCAUAUCUUCAAUUGGGUUGAGAUGAGAGAAAAAGUGCUGGAGUGAUGACAGAAAAAAUGUUGAGAUGAGAGAGAAAAUAUCUCUUAUGACAAAGGGUUUCUAGUUUAAUUUUUUUUUUUCAAUUGGGACAAUAGUAGGGAUGACAGAGAAAAUGUUGGAGUAAGAGAGAUGAAAGAGAAAGGGUUGAGAGGAAUGAGGGAGGUGGGUAAGGGUUUGGGCUUUUUUUUUUUUUUUUUAGUUUUGAGAAUGAAAAUUAUUUAAAUAUCCUUAACCUUAAAACUUAGAAUCCAUGAUGAAUGAGAGUAUUUUUGUCUAUUUCCGAUACAGAUUGUUAAAACGUACCAACUAAAAAACAGGCCUACGCGUGUUAACAAACCCAUAUAUAUAUAUAUAUAUAUAUAUAUAUAUAUAUAUAAUAUUUAUUAUGACUUAAUUGUUAAGUCAUUCAAUUUAGUAUUAAAUUACAAUAUUUUAAAUUAUAAAAACUAUUUAAUAGGUUCAAUAUGAGGUCCAAAUAAAACACUCUUAAGAAAUUAUUGAUGAUUUGAAUGAACUGAAUCUGAUCCACCAGUGAAACAUGCAAAUUAAGAUAUCAAUCAUUUUCAUUGUCUUCUUAUAAAAAAUAUAUAUAUAAUACUUUAUAUGAAUAUUAAUAUACAAUGUAAUUGAAAUUGUUUUAAGAAAUAUUUAUCAUAGAAAAUUAUUGUAUUAUUUACAGAAAAAUAUUAUUAAAAGUUAAAUAAGAAAAUGAUAUAUUAUCUAGAGACGGACUCUGUCUCAUGGGAGAAAAAUGUACUUUAAAAGUUAGAGUGCAGUGAGCAUGGUAAAUUUAAAAGAAGUAGUUUGUCUAUUUCUUAUUUAAAUAUAUCUUUUUUUGUUUUAUAAAUGACUAAUAGAGCUAUUCUUUAAAAUGUUACUUAUAAGCAUUCUUUUUAACAAGUUAACCCUGGAUUUAUUGAUGAAAAUGCUUAUUUGCGUAUAAAAAACAAAUAUAAAUAUAUAUAAAAAAAUAGUGAGAAAUUGUGAAGAAAUUAUUAACAAAGUAUAAAAGAAAAAGACAAUAAUAUAUUAAUCCAGAUUAUUUUAUAAUAUUUUCAUUCAACUGCUCAUUAAAUUUCAAAUAUGUCAGUAUAAAAUAAAUAAAUAAUAAAUUGAUAAAAAAUAAUAUAUAUGUUAUAUAAAAAUCUAUAUCUAAUUAUUUUUUAUGAGAAAAAAUAAUGGUAGAAGAAGGCGUUUGAAUGGUAGAGGAAGUGUUGAAGUGUUAUGUCGAUUGUGACAGAACAUAUAUGUUGGAAUGUAGCAUAGUGUUAGAAAUCAGAGAAGUUGAUAUGAAGUUGUGAUGGGUAAAUCAUGGACAUCUUCAAAAACCCUUCGACCCAAUCCCAAGUUUCGUUGGUUGCCAAAAACAUGAAAUGUUGUUUUCUGCCAUUUCUCAGACAUUUUCAGUUUCUGACUACGUUUGACCUCUUUGCAAUUAAUUCUACUUACACCUGCUUUCAUACUUUUAUUAUCACGGGUCUGCACUCAUUUCUUUGUGGACUUUAAUAUUCUUAAUAAAAAUUCUUUUAACAACUAUUUUUUCUAAUAUAUAAGAUUGAAAUUAAGAAUAAGAUUAAAUAUAUUUUUAGUUCCUAUAUUUUAAGUCGAUUAUAGUUUUAGUCUCUCUUUCAAAAUAAAGUAUAAUUUAGUUCUUCAACUCUAAGAAAUUCUGGUUUUAAUUUUUUUUACCAAAUUUUUUAAANUUUAUUUGCUGUUUCAAGCACGCUUCAUUAUAGCAUUUGAAUUGUUUAUACUGUUUGACACAUUUUUGCUUCAAUAUUAACUGAAAAACACGAUUGAAACAACAAAUAAAGUAAAAAAUUUGGUAAAAAUGACUAAAACUAGAGUUUUCUAAUGUUGAAGGACUAAAUUGUACUUUAAUUUAAAAGGGUGACUAUAACCAAAAUCGUCCCAAAAUAUAAGGACUAAAAACAUAUUUAACUCUUAAGAAUAUAACCUGAUCACACAAAAGUAGUCCAUAACACGUAUGUGUAAUAUAAAAAAAAUCAUAAUAAAAUGUUUACUAUUUCUUUUCGAAAUUAUUUCUGGUGGUUUUUUUUGUUUUUCAUGUAAAAAUGUAUUUUUCAAUUUUUUUAAGAAAAAUGUUUUAUGAUUUUUCUAUAGAACAUGUUUAGUAAUUUUAUAAUUACAAAAAUAACAAAAAUCGAUCAGACGUCAAAAUAUUGAUUUCCUUCCAUUCACAUUUUAUCUUAAAUUUAAACCACACACAACAAGAACAAAGAAAUCCAUAAAACUGUUUAUCAUAAGAUUUAAUCUCAUUUUCAUUCUCAUAGGUCUAUUUCUAUUUUUAAGAAAAAAAAAACUAUAUUAAUUCUCUUAACAUGAAUUCCUAUGUAUUUAAGGAAAACAUUUAUAAAUUUUAAAAUGUUAAUCUAAUUGAAAUGCCAUAAUAUACGCAUCUUAUUUUAAGAAAGUCAAAUUUAAAAAUUAAAUACAUAACUGUUGAUGUAGACAGGGGAAUAUAUGAUAACAAAGAGGAAUCUAAACAAAAAAUACCUAGUUAUACAAAAUUAUAUUUUAGAAAAAAGAUAAUUACUCAAAUAAAACAUACAGUCAACUCACACGUUUAAAACUCAGUUUUGAAUAAAGAACAAAAUAGAAAUAUUAUUAAAAUAUUUUAUAGGAUUAGAAAAAUAAAAUAUUUUAAAAAUAGAGACAACUUUUUCUUUUUCUUUUACACAAAAACCUUUAUUAAUUUUAAAUAAUAAAAUAUUUAUCCUUUAUUCAACUCACUCUUGUGUCAUGUAUACUCAUAAAACAAAUUGCUGAUUUAGAAGUUAUAAUUAAAAUAGAAAUAUUUUAAUGCAACAAUUUCAAACAAAAGCCACACCGUCCAAAUAUUUUAUGUCCAAUUAAAUUUAUAUUUCGUUGGAUACUUUUUUUUUAUAUUUGUUUAUUGAACUAUUAGUAAACCUAAUUGAUUAUCAAAUAAACUACUUUUUUUUUAAUUGGAUCGAGUACAUUAAUUUUAAUGAUAAUCAAUUUAGGAGUAAAGUAUAUUUUUUCACAAUUUUGUAUUAAUUAAGUUACAUUCAUCUUGAAAUUUAUAAAUAAAGAUUUGAGAUAAGAAUGUAAAUUAAAUUAUUUUACUCAUAGAUUAAUUACUAAUUAAAAAAUGUUAAGCUAAUUUUGACAUUAAAGUACAAAUAUCCUUUGAACAAUUUAAAUAAAUGAAAAAUUCCUUUCUUAAUAACUUUUAAACUUCAGAAUGACAACAUUAUGAGACUAUAAAUAUCCAAAACAAGUAUAAUUUGAUAAUUUGCUCAAAAUAAUUAUAUUAAAAUACAUACUUGAAAAAUCACUCAAUAAUUCAUCCCAUUAUACUAUUAUAGCAUAUAUUUUUCAUAAAAAGAAGAUAAAAUAUGUCAAAUCCUCACGAAUUUGAAGUUUGUGGUUUAAUUAUAAAUAUGAAUCCACCAAACACGCUUCACAAACUCAGGGAUUUUUUUUUUUUCUCGAAACACAUGUUCUUAAUAAAGACAACAACCACUGUGAAAACAUCGUAUGUGAGACAAAAUAACAUUAUAAUAAUAAUUCUGUCUCUUACGUGUUUGUGUAAAAAACCAUAUCACAAAAAAUCGUCAAAAUUUUUUAAAUAUGGAAUCGAAUUUUCCUUUACAUGGUUUUUGCGUAAUAUACUCUUAAAGUGUAGACAACCUAGUAAUAAUUAAGAAUGCAACAAUUAGUGGACAUGCAUGAAUAUGAUCUCACGCGGGAAUACCAUUGAUUGCCUCUCUUUGAAGCAUUUAUCAUGAAAAAGAGGUUACUCAAAUCAAAAGAACUAAUAAAAAACUUGCAACUUGUUUAGAAGUUAGCAUAAAGUAAAAAGCAUUAUUUUGUUACAAGGAAGAGAUUUUCCUUUUUUAUCAUUGAAGAAUGUGAAAGGAAAUCAGGUUAAGAUAAAAAAUUAGAUAUGCAAAAAAUUAGACAGAUAAUUACAAAACCCAUAUGACUUUUUAUUUUUUAUAAACUGAUUUAAUAUAAUGCAAAACAAAAGAAAAACUAAAUUAAAAAUUAAACAAACUAAAACCACAAAUUUACAUAAAUAAAAAUUACACUAGGUGUUUUCUUUUACGACUUUGUCCUCAAAAUGCAUUUAUUAAGAAAGGCAUGUAGUCACGUAAUAAGAUACUAAUGUAAACUCUUUGUUAUAUUUUUCUUAAGAUAUUUACAUUGUUUUAAACAUCUAAAUGUAAAGGAUAAUGAUAUUUAGACAACAUUUUUUUGACAACACUUGAACAUUGAUUACGUGUCAAUAUGUGAUUGGUCAAAAAUUACUCCACAAUCAAUAAUAAUAAUCAUAAACAUUAUUGUAGAGUAAUUUUUGACCAAUCACAUAUUGACACGUAAUCAAUGUUCAAAUGUUGUCUAAAUAUCAUUAUCUAAAUGUAAAAUAUAGAAAAUACUACCAUUCAUGUGUUAUUUGCUUUUCAUGUAAAGACUAUACAGAGGAAGAAAAAAAAACUCAUUUUUAUUUCCUGAAAAACUAGAUUCUUAAAAUAAUAUUAGUGUUAUUAUAGUUUUGGAGAAUAAUAUUUUUAACAAUAUUUUUUAUAACAUUUUAACAUUAUCUACGUAUUUAAAAUUACUUCACAAUCAAUAAUAAUAAUCAUAAACACCAAUAUAAACCAAUCAACGAAUAACAUCAUAUUAAAAUAUUGUCAAAAUAUAAUUAUAGUAUAUUAUCCUAUAAUUUUAAUCAUACUCUUUUUUUCUAUCUACUAUUUAAACGAUCCAUACAAUUACAUAAAUAAGAAAAAUUUCAUGAAGGGGUCCCGAAAAGAUGGUCAACAUCAUCUCCACAACUGUUAAUGCAACAACGACAAAGAAAUUUCAUGGAGGGUCCCGUUACGGACGUUUCAUACGGAUUUUGCCCUACAACCCUUCUUUUCGGCGAUAAUUCAGCUUUAUAUUUUAAUUUAUUUUAUAACAAGAUCCUGAUCUGACCUUUCUUAAUUAUUUAUCAAUUUAUUAAGACGUCCCAUUUUCUUCACAUGGAAAUUCUUCUACCCAAAAUCAUAUAACCUAUUUAUUUAUCUUUCGGCAAUGGGUUGUUAUAGUUGAUUAAAGUAAAUGAUAUAAUGUCACUUUCAUUUUUAAAUUAGUAAACGUGUUAUUGACCCUCUAUGAUUUUAGCGUAUCUUAAUUUAAUCUAUAUUUAGAUAUGAAACUUACAUUACAAAUAUUAUAAUAAUUAAAAAUAUUAUAAUAAUUGAAUGAAAGCUUCGUCCUAGAUUUUCGUGUGUGGUUGAAAAAAAAAAGUUUAAUUAGAUGAUUGGUAAUAAAUAAGAAAGAGAAGAAUUUUGUUAAUUUUUGGUGAGUGGUCAAGAGCAAUAGGGUAGGCAGUAGCCACCAGUGAUUAGGCCUGCUUGCUCACCAAAUCACUCGAUCUUUUCUACAAAUUUCCUUUCCACCGCCACGUGUCAGUCUCUACUAGCUGUUCCUAACUUUCACCGGCUACUCCAGUCACCAUACCUAAGAAACAAAAUAAAAUAUUCCAUCACAUAGGGUGAGAAACUGGAAAAGCAAAACUCACUGUACGCACAGUGUCGCAGAGGGACAGAGAUAGAGCAGAGUCUGAGUGAAACAUCCAUUCCUUCCUCCUCCUCUUCCUCCUCGUGAUUCCCGAACAUUCUCUUCUUAUUCCAGCUCCACGCGCGUGAUUCCGCUCUCAAUACUCGCGCCAUUGUUCUUCUUCUUCCGUAAAGAAUCUUAGGGUUUGCUGAAUGCUGAAUGCGGCUUUGCUCGCACACUGACUCUUCACACUACAAUGUCCGGCCCUCUCGACCGUUUCGCCAGACCAUGUGACUUUUCUUUCUCUAUCGAACUCUUUUUUAGGGUUUUAGGUUUUCUUUUUUGCUGAUGAAACGGUUCGUUUUGGCUCUGCCUUGCAGGUUUCGAAGGUUUCUCCGGGAGCGACGAGAAGAAGGAGCGGAGAUCUGAUUUUGAGAACUCCGAGGACGAACGGAGGACCAGAAUCGGAUCUCUCAAGAAGAAGGCGCUCAAUGCGUCGUCCAAGUUCAAACACACGCUGAAGAAGAAGAGCAGCAGAAGGAAGAGCGAUGGCCGCGUCAGCUCUGUUUCCAUCGAGGAUGUUCGGAAUUUCGAGGAGCAGCAGGCCGUUGAUGCAUUUCGCCAGUCCUUGAUCAUCGACGAAAUGCUCCCCGAAAAACACGAUGAUUACCAUGUCAUGUUAAGGUGUGCAUUAACCAGAUAAAUGCGAGGUGUUAAAUGAACAAACUCAAUUGUUUUUUUUUUUGCUUGAUUUUUAUACAUUUUGCAGGUUUCUGAAAGCGAGGAAAUUUGAUGUUGAAAGGGCGAAGCAUAUGUGGGCUGAUAUGCUACAAUGGAGGAAGGAGUUUGGUGCUGACACUAUUAUGGAGGUUAGUGCAGAUUGAUUCGGAUAAUGUUUGAUGUUUAGUGUAGGGUUCAAGAUUAGCCUCUGUGAUGGUUAGAUUUGUAUGUUGUGGAUUGCUGCAUACUCUGUAUAAUAUUUGCUUAAUGUUUUGUGUUUGCUUUAGGAUUUUGAGUUCGUAGAAUUAAAUGAAGUUAUGAAGUAUUAUCCGCAUGGUCAUCACGGUGUUGAUAGGGAGGGAAGGCCUGUUUACAUUGAGAGACUUGGGAAAGUAGAUCCGAACAAACUUAUGCAGGUUACAACCAUGGAUAGAUAUGUGAAAUACCAUGUACGGGAAUUUGAGAAAGCUUUUAAGAUAAAGUUUCCUGCUUGCACAAUUGCCGCCAAAAGACACAUAGAUUCAAGCACCACGAUAUUAGAUGUUCAAGGAGUGGUAUGUUGCUGCUAAUUGUUCCUCAUUGUAUGUGUCUAUGUGUUCCUGUGACAUACGGCAAAUUUAUGGUGUAGUUUCAACUUUUAGGGCCUCAAGAACUUUACAAAGUCUGCCCGGGAACUAAUUUUGCGGUUACAAAAGAUUGAUGGUGACAAUUACCCUGAGGUGAGUAAUAUCAGUUUGUGUGUAAUCUUGUAUUACGUUACGUUCCUGUUUUGAUUUCAUCCAAAAAUUUAAAGAAUAAAUUUUACCAAGGUGUCAAUGGUUGAGGAUGAUUGAUAUGUUUUUUCUUAUUAAUGAUACAGACUCUUUGUCAAAUGUUUAUCAUAAAUGCCGGCCCUGGAUUUAGGUUACUGUGGAACACCGUCAAGUCUUUCCUUGAUCCCAAAACAACUUCAAAGAUCCAUGUAUGUAAAAAGUGCUAUAUUGUAGUUGCUUAAGGCUCCUUUUUUUGUUGGUUUAUGAAUGCUGACAUUGCUUGGUGCCUGUGUGGAAAUAUUGCUUAGGUUCUUGGAAAUAAGUAUCAAAGCAAAUUGCUUGAAGUAAUCGAUGCCAGGUACACAAUGGGCCUAUUUCUCUAUAACCAAGUGUUAGAAAUUUUGUAAUUUAUAUGCUUGUAUCAAUAAUGUAUUUAACCAUCACUAACACUUUUCUUAAUAUUGUUGUGCACUUAAUGAAGCGAGUUGCCGGAAUUUCUGGGGGGUACAUGUACAUGUGCAGAUCAAGGUGGUUGCCUCAGAUCUGAUAAGGGACCCUGGAAAAACCCUGAAAUUUUGAAGGUAUACACUGAUGUUUCUUUCUAAAAUGCUCAACACUUGCUAUAUGAUACGAAUGUUGCUACAUGCUAACUGUACUGUUAAUCGCACGGGGAAAUUUGCAGAUGAUUCUUAGCGGUGAAGCACGAAGAGCAAGGCCUGUUGUAAAAGUUCUAAACAGUGAAGGAAAGGUUAUUGCAUAUGCCAGACCACAAUACCCAAUGGUAAUAUGUUGUAUGGUUUAUUAUUGCUUGAAUCUGGUGGAGGCUGAAUUGAUUCCUUUGUACUUCUUCAGGCUCCUUUUCAUUUUGUAACCUUAUUGACUGUGUCACUUCUUUCUUGCAGGUAAAAGGUAGUGACACAUCCACAGCUGAAUCAGGGUCUGAAGCUGAAGAUAUUGCUUCUCCAAAAGCAAUGAAGAGCUACUCUCACCUUAGGUUGACACCUGUUCGUGAGGAAGUAAGUGUUGAUUUUCUGAUAUGUUUACUCACACUUUUCAUUAAAUUGGUAGAAUUUUCAAUUCAUUGAUUGUAGUACUUCUGUGCACUUAAUUUUACUGGCUGCAAAAUUUUCUCUGAUCAUUCUUGCACCUAUUAGCUUUUUAUUUAACACUUGUUUGAUCAGUUGUAUUUAUAUGCAGAAGAUAUUCACUAUGAUUAAUGAUUUAAUGAGGAUGAUCAAAAUAUAUUACGUUUCAAGGAACUUGUUCUUAGGAUUUUCCCUGGUCUAUUCUAAACAGAGAAGUUAUUUACGUUUUGUGUUCAGGCUAAGGUUGUUGGAAAGUCGAUCUAUGUUGGUGGUGGUAACUUGGCUGGGUAUGAUGAAUAUGUUCCGAUGGUGGACAAAGCUGUUGAUGCUGGCUGGAACAAACAAGCAUCACUCCAGAGGGCUCAAACUUCAAAAGGUAAAACAACUUUAGCUUAUUGUUAUUAUAGUUACCUAUUGUAUGAAUCUUCUCAUGGUGCUUAUUCAUAAAAAGAAAAAUAACACCAAUGCUUAAAACAUAAGUGCGUUGUUUAAGAUCUUGUAUCUGCAUUCUGUUCUAAAUAUCAGUUAAAACUUGUUUUGUUAGUAACAUAGUGACACUAUUUGCGCUUUAACUUUUGCAGGACAUUUGAUGGCUGUAAGAGCGUCAAUGUCAUGAGUUUUUGCCUUAUGCUGUGUCAUUAUACAAAAGAUUAUACCCCAAUUGAAUCAUGAAUUUUGUUUAAUUAACGUUUGAUUAAAAUUAACUCAAUUUUUGAUAGGCUAUUGAACGCAUGGCAUGAUUUUCUUUUGACACUUGUGCUCUUGUUAGUAAUCCUCCCCCUUGUUUUUAUAAUACAAUGCCCUCGUGUUUUUGAAAUUUGAAUUUGUUUUACUGUGAUGAUAAAUGGUGUUUUAUAUCGGGUGUGUUCUGUAAUUUCUAGUCCGUUAGAGACAAACUGUUUGGGGACCCACACUCGGGAGUUUAAGGUAUUGGAACAGUUGGUCCCUAACCUGGCAUUUGUUUUGUCAGGGCGGGAUUUAUACGGGAUUAUAAGCAAUUGCAUAAGUCCUUGUCUUUUAAGAUUUAGGAAGCGCUAGUUCUUUUCUUGUUUUCAUGAUUUGAAUUUUUUGAUUUAAUUUUCUUCAGGAUUGUUAAAUUGAAUUUUGUAUUACAGGAACACCUUCCCUCCCUGAUCCUCCACAAACUCCCAUAGGGGUUCGAGCUCGGAUGCUGGGGGCUCUAACUGCUUUCUUUAUGAUGCUGUUUACCCUCUUCCAUUCUGUCGCAUACCGUGUGACCAAGAAACUUCCCGCUUCAUCAUCUAAUGAGGAUCAGUGCACUUCAGAGACACCCGAUAGUACAACCAGCGAAGACAACCAUCCUCCGUCACCAACUCCAGCACACAGAGAGGAAAGUCUCCUUUCCUCAAUGGUGAAAAGGUUAGGUGAGCUUGAAGAGAAGGUUGACACACUCCAAUCUAAGCCAUCUGAGAUGCCUUACGAGAAAGUGGAAUUGCUAAAUGCUGCUGUAUGUCGGGUGGAUGCUUUGGAAGCAGAGCUAAUUGCAACUAAAAAGGUAGUAACCUAUACUUUCGCUUUUCCAUAAUUCUUUUAAACACUGCAGUCUUGAUAAUUACUUUGAGGUGUUUCCAUGUCUUAUUUUAUCUGUUAUCUUUAAAUGCAAAACCAAAAUCUUACCUUUCCUGUUAGCUGGCCGCCACAAGAAUAUAUCGAUGAGCACAUUAUUAAUGAAUAAAUGCAAUAUUUUCAUGUCUGUUUUUUUAUUUAUUUUUUUAAAUUCUAACCAAUUUUUUUGUCUAUAUGGAACUAAGGUAUGAUAGUUAUUUUAAGUUAAAAAAUCACACGAAAGAAAAAUGAAUGUUUUUCUUGCCUAUAUGUCUCGUGUUGGUUGUUAAACGGGUGUAUUUGUUUUAUGGCAGUUUCGUUAUUUUAGAUUUUAAUUCCUGUACAGUUUCAUUUAAAUGGUGAAUUAGGAAAAUUUGUUAUUGCAGUUGUACUUUUGCUCUCUUUAUGCAUACAUGUAUUUUUCUCUCCUAUUUAUGUUUGGGUGAGUUUCAUAUUUGACCGUGAAAAUGUGAUGAGUACUUGGUUUUUUACUCUUUCCUUACUUGAAGAAUACUGUUACAUUUGUACUUUCUGGAUUGUUCGAUAGGCUCUAUAUGAAGCAUUAAUGAGGCAAGAAGAGCUGCUUGCUUACAUUGAUAGUCAAGAAGAAGCUAAGUCGCGGGUAAGUUUGUCUCAUAUUUUUAAUACAGUUUUAUGGAUGUUAUGCAAAUCUCUGAUAUUUAUAUAUUGCUGUUUAUCAGAAGAAGUUUUGCUGGUGAGUUUUGGCUGGCUGAUAAAGGGACUCUGGGAGAGGGCAUUUUUUCGAAUCAUGGUGUUCUUAGUGCCGACACUUUGCACAUUAGGUUGAUCCCUGAACACUAAUUUUCUGUUUAAUGCGUACACUCGAGAGUUGUCAAACUCGUGUAUAGCUAAUAGCUUUUUUUCCGGAUUAAAAACAACCCUUGUUUUUGCUCUCUGCCCACCUUUAUUAUAUUUGGUGUGAUUGUCUUGUUAAUUUGAGAAGCGUUUGUCGUUCUGAUGAUCUCAUGAUUUUCCUUAAAUAUUAAUCGAUUUUGGGGGAUAUCCAGGGGAGACAAAGCUAAAAAAUAAAUAGUCCCUCUGAAGCAUUUAGGAAACGGGGCAUAUUUCGUGUUAAAUCCCGUAUAAAUAAGGCACGCGAACAAUGGUAAUUUUAUUUCUCAAAUUAGAAGGUAAUGAUGGUACAAUACGGUAAAUAUGUGGAUUCGUUUGGCGUAACCUUUUUGUGCUGUCGUAGAUGGUUGAAGUGAAGUUCCGUUUGUCAGUCAAAUAGCAAGUGGAGUGUCUCAGACAGUUGGAACCAACUUCACUUCAUCACAGGGACGACUUUAGUACAACAGGAACUGAGGAUUAAGCUGACGAAAACGCCUGUCAUUUGGUUCAACUAGUUAGUGCAAGUACAUUUUGAGAAAAACAAUGAUCUAAUAAUAUCAAAAUUUAACAAUCUUGCCUUUGCGAUCAUUUUCGUUACAUAGUUAUACUUUUAUGCGUAAACACAAUUGUGAGAGAGUGUCCUACUGUCUAAAUACAGAAUAUUUAAUUGGAAUAGAGGAGAAAUUAUACAAGGUGAAUGUAAUAGGAUCUGAUGGGGCUGAUAAAAGGAACGCCUCCAAGAAUAUACAACUCAUGCUAAUGUUAAUAUUUGAUUGAGGUCAGACAGCAAUCGACACCCAACGCCUUACCAGCGGAACUGCGAUCACGAACCCGAAAUCUUGUGUAAGGAGGGAAAGCACUACACACAGGUAACAAAUUAUUAUAGCUUACAAACUUCACAUGACUCACGAACGCAACGUCAUACUAUAAAAUCAAGGUUCGUAUGACUCACCAUUCUCUUCUUUUUCUUUUUAUCAAUUUGACCUUGAAGCUCCACUUGUCGGAUAAGGGCAUCGUCAAGUGACUAAGAAACAGAAAAAAAAAGUACAAAAAAUGUAAGCUUUUUUUUUAAUCAUAUAUCAAUCAAUGUUAUUCUCAAAUGAUGAUGAGGUUGUAGUAUGAAGGAAAACCAAUAAUACCUUUUUGGUAAUUACCAAUUCUUGUUCCAGCGUACUGAUUCUGCUAAGAGCCUUAUUCAGCAAUUCUUCCAUCUCAGCUGGUAUGUCAGGUUUCUUAGAGAGGAUAUUCACCUUCUCUUCUAGUUCAACCAUGCGCUUCAUCAUGGACAUUUGAUCAUCCAUGCAAAUUGCAGGUGCUUUCAUUUUGUUGCCAUUACAAUGUGCUGUGUUACCAAACAAGUCAGUUCCAGUGAUUUUUUUUGGCACUUUCUUUGCCAGGCGGAUAACUGUUAUCACUGCCAUAAGAACUGACAUGAUUCCACCAGUAAAUGGGACUCUAAACUUAUUAGAAUUACUGUUGCUAGACAAACAAUCUUUAGAAAGGGCUAACUGAUCUUUUCGUUCUGCUUUCUCCCAAGAUGAAUUCACUGGGGCAAAUGCCACCUGCUAAUAUGCAAAGAGAGUACCCAAAGAGAUGGUCAAUUCUGCAGUUAUGUUCUCAUCAAACACUUGAUUUAUAUUUCAUGCAAAAAGUUCUUGUUCCUCACCAUGAAAAUUACUGAAUGUUAUUCAGAUACAUAGGCUAGAGUUUAUAGAUAAAUACAUAUAGAAUGAAAACAUCAAAUGAUCGAAAAUCUAAGAAACUUACUUCUGGAGCAGCACAGGGAUCCUCCACGGCUGCAGAUUCUUUAAAAGAAUCGCAUUCCUAAGAUUAUAGGAAAACAAAUCAAGUUAUCAGAUUUUCUGACAAACAGAGGAUGGCAAGAAAAUUUCAGAGCAAAACUGAAUUUGAAAUUGUAAAGUACGUAACUGCUUACCUUUUGGCAUUCUGUAUCAUCUUCAAUUAUGGUUUUCACUUCGAUCCCGGAUAAAGCUUUCCUCUUGCAUUUUCCUGCUCCAUUUUGAACCAUCUAGUGCAUCCAAACAAAACAUCACUUCAUUACUAUCUUUUCCUAAUCGCACAACUAAAAAAAAUUUGAUCUUACUACCUUGAAGAUUUCUGGGUCAUUCCAUGGUCCCUUGUCUGAAAGCAAGCAACCACCUUUGUCUUCACAGGUACAAGUACCACCCAAGAACUCUGGAAGUUCACUGGUAAAUGAUAUAAGAACAAUGUGUUAUGUAUGGCCUUGAAUAGUAUAUUGUUCUUCAGUCACACAUGUUAAAAGAACAUCCUCGUUAAUGAGUAUGAUCAGAGAUUGUCAUUACUGUUUACUCAAUCUAAACCAUCUCUCAGCAUAUCGUUAAUGUGAUAAACUUGAAUUCAGAUGAGAAUGAGAACGGAGAAAAACAUUCACCUGGCAUCAAUGAUUUCAAGUAACUUGCUCUGAUAUUUGUUACCUAGGACCUGGCAAAUAAAGCAGUAAUCUAUUGAGAGCUCCUGCUUAACUGAAACCAACAUUGCUUGGGUGUGAAAAGUAUAUAAAAAUUUCUUACAUGGAUUUUGGCGGUGGUCUUAGGAUCAAGGAAUGACUUGACAGUGUUCCACAACAGCCUAAAUCCUGAACCAGCAUUAAUGAUGAACAUACGGUUUAAGGUCUGAAAAGAAAAGUUCAGUCAGGUUAAAUUCAGAAUGCGACAUUUUAGUCAGGAACGUGAAGUAGUACCUCAGGGUAGUUGUCACCAUCAAUCUUCUGAAGACGUUGGAUGAGAUCCCUUGCAGCUUUGUUCAAACUUUUUAGACCCUGAAUACAGAUGCUAGUCAGCAAUCAUGUAAAACUUCUUUUACAUAUGCACCUGAGAUACGGAUGUCACCUCCUAAAUGUAACUUAUGCAUGAUAUAAUUUAAUUAAGGAGUUCCUGUGGAGUUUUACUCUUUCUGGUUUGAACAUGGAACAGAAAGUAAAAGCUAAACAUGCGGUAUUAUAGUAUUGCUGCAUAUUUUCAUACAUACCACUCCUUGCACAUCCAAGAUUGUUGUGCUUUGGUCAAUGUGUUUCUUGGCUGCAAUGGAACAAGCAGGGAACUUAACAGCGAAUGUCCUCUCAAACUCUCUCACAUGGUACUUAAGAUAGCGAUCCAAAGUUGUGACUUGCAACAGCUUGUUAGAGUCAACCUGACCCAACCUUUCUAUGUAAACAGGUUGCCCUUGCUUAUCAACUCCAUGAUGCCCUUGUGGGUAGUAUUUUAGGACUUCUUCUAACUCCUUGAAUUCAAAAUCCUUAACAAGACAACAAAAGAAAAAAAUUGUUAAAAAAUAAAUUUUAAAGUGUAAUUCAAUCUCAUGAAACUAAUAUGUAAAUUUAAGUUUGUAUUCAUUUAUAUAUUAUAUAAAUUGGUGUUAUUUAUUAGAUUUUCAACAAUCACAUAAAAGUACAUUCAUGGACAUUGUUUUUUCUUCAUCCACAGGAAGUUACCUCCAGAAUUGUGUCAGCACCAAACUCCCUCCUCCACUGAAGCAUAUCUGCCCACAUUUGUUUUGUUUUCUCGAUUUCAUAUUUUCUUGCUCUCAAGAAUCUAGGCCACCAUUUUAUAUUACAGGUAUUAGUAAAUCAGCAAAUGGACAAGAAACUAGUCAUAAGGUCUGAGGGGUAUACCUUAACAUCAUAUGAUGAUCAUCAUGCUUUGAGGGUAAUAGUUCUUCUAAGAUGAGUGUUUGGCGAAAAGCAUCAACUGAUUGCAACUCUUCUGCAUCAACUUCAUCCUCAAUAGCAAUAGACAUAACUCUGCUAUGCCUUCUCCCCUUCUUUUGCAAGGAAUGCUUGAACUUUGAAGAUGCACUGAUUGCUACCUUCUUGAAAGAGCCAAGCUUUUUUUUCUUAUCAUCCUCUGAGUAUUCCAUCUCAGCACCUGGUUUUGCAUAACCCAAAUUACUCACAGAAGUUUCAAAAGGAAGACAAGAAAUUCGCAAACUGAUGUUUUAUUUUUGUUAUUAACAAUAAACAACAUCCAAUAAUACCACAACAUUAUUCAAAUAAACUACAUUAUUAUGAAUUUAACAUAUAAGUUAUGUUAAUACUGCAAAAACCCAUUGAUCAUUUUCUAUUAGUACCACAACAUUAAUUUGGAUUCAAGCUUCUUUCUUUUUGUUAUGAACCUCACAUUACAAUCACUCUAUCCGUUUUAAGAAAAAAAUCUCUCUCAUAUACCCAUAAGCCAUACCUCAAAUAAUCAUGCAUUGAUAAUACGUUCAUAGACAAUUACAAAGGCAAUCAAAGAUCUGAAUUAUAUCUCGAUUUCCAUCAAUGAUUCCUCUAACUGGUGAAUGAGCUUUAUAAUAAAAACAUUCUAAAUAGCAAAUGCCCGUCAGAUAUAUAUAAUCAUCUGAUUUCAGCUUUCUUCAAUUUUCAUUCUUCUCAUCUUCAUACAUUGAACAUGUCAACAUGCAAACAAAACAGUUAAAUUCAAACAUCAUUGCCUAAAGGGUGUGCAAAAAUUGAUUACACAGCACAUGCAUAACAUAUAUAAGUAAUCAACCAAAGAAUGAAAAGGGAAGGAAAUUGGAAAACAUAGAUUUUACCACCUUUAGCAGGUCGAUCUGUGAUAGUUAUGGAGGGCACAGCUACAAUGUCAGACAUGAUUAAUUAUCGAACCUCGUAAGCUCCUCAAAUGAGAACAGACGUAAGGUAGAAGAGAAUCAACAAUAUUCGCACAUGCGCCUACUCCUUAGCUUAAGCCAUCAAAUAACAUCAUGCAUGUCAGAAGCUGAAAAACCAUUUCUUUUACACACCAAUAUGAACCCUUUUUCAAAUAUAUUCAUCAUGCAUUGGAAAAGAAAACAUCAAAGCCAAAAGCAUAAAGAUAUGCUUACAAUGAUACAUAUAUAUAAUGAUACAAUGCAGUUGAAGAAGCUAUAUUGAACCUAAGGGGGUUCAAAAAGUUGAUGAAUCAACAUGAGAGAGAGAGAGAGAGAGAGAAAGAGAAUGGAGUAGAAUGGUAGAUGAAAUACCUGUGAGUUGCAGGAAUAUAGGCGUUGCAGAAGCAAAGAAAACGUAAAUUUAUGAUCCGAAUAAGUCUGUGACAAUAUAUAGAAGUGCCAGAAAAAGAAGCGAGGUUGGUGCAACUCGUUUUUAGGGUUUGCUGUUUUUUUCGAGCUUCUGUUUCUACUAGAAGGAUUACAGAUGGAGAUGGUGCUGGCGAAAUGCAUGCAACUCCAUUCUUUCAUAUUCUCUCCACUACGCAACCCUUUCUAUCUUCUUUACUAUGCUUUAUAUGCUAUUCUAGGUUUUUUUUUUUUUUUUUAACAUAUAUAUGUUUAUUUAUUUAUUUAUAUAGCAUAUAAAUUUAACUUGUAAAAUUCUAUGAGUAAUUGAAUUACUUAUAAAAUUAAAUUGUAUAUAAAUUUGUGUAUCAAUUUUUGUUUGUAUUCCUGCAUUAAUUAUUGAUAAACGUCUUUGUAAUAUUUUUUUAUUGGCGAUACGAUUUCUUUAUCAUGUGGGAAAUGUUAGUGCAUAUAACAAAGUUAAAAAAAUUAUUUUUAUAAUAUUAGAUACGUAAUUUUCAUUAGCUAAAAAUAAUUUCAACUAAUGUUAAUUUGUUAAUGCCAGUUAAAAAAUUGAUUAAUUUUAAUAACAAAAUAACAUCAAUCCAAGAUCAAUAAAACCUAUCACUGGUAUUUUUAAGUUAUUACAAAUUGUUCGACACUUAACCAACCUUUUUUAAAGAAUGAUAAGUGAAAUAUUUUAUUUAAAUAAACAAUUAAAAUUCAAUAAAUUUAAAUUAAUUCAAAUUCAAUCUAUUUAAAUAUUUUAUAAAUUGUGAAACUCUCUCUAAAUACAAAGUUAAAGUAUGCUUAGAAAAUAUUCCUAUAUAUUGAAAUGUUGUAAUUUACUAUACUGAAGUGUUGUAUUCCUAAUGUUAGCUAGCGAAUUAUACAUAAAUGUAUAUGAUUUAGCUUUGGAAUAUUAUGGUUUUUUUUUAUCGAAAUAGGUAAAAGUGAUUUUGAAUUUACGUAUUUAGAUAAAAAAAAAACUUUUUUUUUACAGUAAUAGAUAAUUGUGAGUCAGACGACUUUAAAUGAAAAAAUUAUAUCUUUCUACACAAGUUUAGUCUUAUAUAUAUAUAUAAAAAAAAUAGAUUAAUUAAAUUAUUAGAAAAAAAACAGUAAAGAUUUAAGAAGUAUACGACUUUUAUAGUUAAAAGUUGUAUAUCCCUCACAUCUUCAACUUUUUAAUAAUUUAAUUAAUUUAAACUAUAUCUACUUAAUAUCAAUUAAUGAAAAUAUAAUUUAAAUAACAUAAUUUUAAUAAAUAUUGUGUAAAAUUAACUAAUUGACAAAAUUAGAAAACAAAAUUAUUUUAAUUACAAACAUAAAUACUAUCAAAUAUAUAUAAUUCAUUAUAUUUAAAAACAUAAAUUAUUAAUUAAAAAUGAUUUAGAUUAAUUAAAUUUUUAAUUAAUAAUUUAUGUUUUUAAUUAAUAGUUUAUGUUUUUAAUUAAUAAUUUAUGUUUUUAAUUAAUAAUUUGUGUUUUGGAUUAAUAAUUUAUGUUUUUAAUUAAUAAUUUAUUUUUUUAAUUAAUAAUUUAAUUAACUUAAACCAUUUUUAAUUAAUAAUUUAUGUUUUAAUUAAUAAUUUAUGUUUUUAAAUAUAAUGAAAUAUAAUAUUUGAUAGUAUUAAUUAUGUUUGUAAUUAAAUAAUUUUGUUUUCUAAUUUUGUCAAUUAAUUACUUUUAGACAAUAUUUACUAAUAUUAUGUUAUUUAAAUUAUAUUUUAUUAAUUUAUAUUAAGUAUGUAUAAUUUAGAUAAUUAAAUUAUUAAAAGAAGUAAAGAUGUAAGGAGGUAUACAACUUGAUUUACAUCUGAUUUUUUUUAAUAAUUUAAUUAAUCUAAAUUCUUUUUUUUAUAGGAUAAUGAUAUUUAGACAACAUUUUUUUGACAAUAUUUGAACAUUGAUUACGUGUCAAUCUGUGAUUGAUAAAAAAUUACUCCACAAUAAUGUUUAUGAUUAUUAUUAUUAUUGAUUGUGAAGUAAUUUUUGACCAAUCACAGAUUGACACAUAAUCAAUGUUCAAAUGUUGUCUAAAUAUCAUUAUCUUUUUUAUAUGUUAGACUGAAAUCGUAUAGAAAAUAUGACUUCUUGGUUUAAAGUCAUUUAGAUCUUAGGACUUCUCUAUUUUCAUAAAAAUAAAUUGUUUAAAUAUAUAAAUUCAAAAUCACUUUUCCUAUUUAGUGAAAAAAACAAUAUUAUGAUAUAAUAUCUUAUUUGAAAAUUGUAUAUGGUUUGGAGCUCUUAUGAUGAAAUAAACUACUUCCAUUUUCAUAACCAUAUGAUCUUUUUCUCCUUGUUUGUGUGCUAAUCUGGCCAUUCAUAAUGUAGUUGCUCCCUGCAUCAGAUUGGGAAAAGCUUACAAUGAGUAAUAAUUAUUAAUAUAAAGCUUAUUCUUAUCUUGAAUGAAAGUUCAAGUUGUACCUGAAUAUAGGAGAUUAUUCAGCAUUUAAAAAUAGCAAGAUAAAUGUAGUAGCUAACAUAAUAAUUAAUUUUGUACUCGAUUGACGUUAGACUAAUAUAAAUAUAACUUUGUAUUUUGUUGGAGAUUAUAUAUUAACUUGAAAUAUGAUGAUUUUAUAUAUAUAUAUAUAUAUAUAUAUAUAUAUAUAUAUAUAUAUAUAUAUAUAUAUAAAUUUUAAGUUUUGUAAUAUUAAAUUAAGUUUAAAAUUUAUUUUGUAAGAUGAUUUGUUAUUUAUUAGAUUUAUUGUAUAUUUUUAUCAUAUUAUCUUUAAUAUUUCGUCUUAUAUUUUAGAUAGACGUGUUUUAGUACAAAGGAAUUGGGUUGAAUAUCUCAUAUUUAUUAAUUGGUUUUAUAGGCUCAAAUUAAAGUCAAUUUUAAAAAAAAUUAAAUUUUGUAUUAUAAGUGAAAAUAUUAAAUCAUAUAAAAUAAAAUAUGUAUAAAUUUAUUGUUCUGAUAUUUUGGAUUAAAAAUGAUAAUUUAAGUUUAACUUGCAUUUUAUUAAUGAAUCUCUUUGGUAAAUCCUUAAAAAUCUAUGGCUGAUUCGUUGAAGGCAUAUGGUUUUUAAUUUUAAGGAUUGUUGGUCAAAAAGAAAAAGAAAGAAGAAGACAAACAUGGAAGGUUCGUUUUUUCCAACUACUUCCAUCUACCAAGAAAGAAUAUAAUGGUAAUAGGCAAGUUCAUGCUACCAUAAACAAUAUCAAACAUUUAUUUUCUCAUUUUCAUGGGCAUUGUUUUAGUGGUGGAAUCGAGCUACUAUCGAUAUCUUUACAAUUUGUCUUUUAGACUGUCCGGUUCCAUCUCUUACUGUCUUCUUUUCAUGAAUAUCGUCUGAUCUUGUCUUCAGAUCUCCUUCUUCUUAUGAAUAUCGUCCGGUCUUUUGCCCUUAGAUCUCUUCUUCGAUUGGAUACUGUACAGUGGGGUACCUGCCGAUGCUCAAGUCAGUGUACAAUUCACUCAGUAAAUCCAAAACAGUAAUAAAUGUGUAAUAAAUAUAAAUCACCCACUUCAUACCUUUGACCUAUAUUAUAGUUUUUAUGAUGGGCUUAUGAUAAGUGGGUUCUUAAUCAUGGCCCAAUAGCCGAUAUUCGUUCUUGGGUCACGGUCCGCCAUGGCCACCUCCGACCAGUUAAUUUUUCUCCUGCCUUCCUGGGGAUACAUUUUCAAUUCGGUGGCAUAACAAUCCCUCAUCGUCUUCUAUUCAGCUCGCACACCCUUGUUGGUCGGGUACUUCAUGGUGAGAUGUGGGGUAGACACAAUGGCCCCGAAGACAUUUGGACAUGGUCGUCCUAAGAGGACGUUGUAUGAAGUGUUGGCUUCUACCAGUAGGUAGUGCACCCUCUUCUCUUUGCUUUCCUGGUCCCAGGCGAGUACGCAGGUUAAUAUCCUGGUGUCUACUCUUUCGCCUGCAAAUUUCACUAAUCAAAAGUCCAUAGUAAAAACUAUAAAUAUAGGUCAAAGAUAUGAGGUGGUGAUUCACAUUUACUGCACAUUUACUACUGCUCUAUAUUUAUUGAGUGAAUUGUGCACCGACCUAAGCGUCAGGGAACUUUUACAGGUACUCGAUCGGAAGGUAUCCAAUUGAAGAAGAGAUCUGAGAAACAGACCUGACGGUAUUCAUAAGAAAAAAGCAUCAGGAGGUGGUACUAGACGAACUAGAAGACAAAUUGUGAAGGUAUCGAUAGUAGUUUAACUCCACUAUCGAAACAGCCAUCAAUGUAUAAAUGAUUUUUGUUUGUUUUUUUUAGCAUUAUUGAAAAUCUGUAACCAAAUAAUAUUAUCAUUAAGAAACAAAUGCUGACAGACUGUAAUAGUAAGCAGCAUCAUGGGAAGCCAUAUCCCGAAUAAUGACAAAACAUUAUUGGCAAACAAUGACGGAUAAUAUAUUCGAACUUUAGAGUUACUCAAUUAUCAUUAUUAUUAUUUAAAUCGAAAUUCAUACGUUCUUGCUUUAAGGGACAACAUUCCACAACAAUUAUUGAUAAUUCAUUCAAAAAAUUUCUUUGUAAUAUACAAAAUUUGUUCAAUCUUGCUCUUAUCCAGAGUCGCAUCUAAAUAUUGUCAGUUUCGCAAUGUUAUAUAUAUUUUUUAUCAUAGUCUUAUUCUUUGAAAAAUAUUAAUAAAUUAAUAGAAAUACAUAUAUGUUGAAACAAAUUUUUAUCAAGACACAAAUUUUUUAUAUUAUUUUUUAAUAAAAUAAAAACUAUAAAAUAAAUUUUAAACUUAAUUCAAUUUUACAAAUAUAAUUUUUUCAAUGAAACAAUAUAUUUUUUAUCAUAGUCUUAUUCUUAAUAAAAAUCUUAAUAAAUAUAUAUAUAUAUAUAUAUAUAUAUAUAUAUAUAUAUAUAUAGUUGUAUAUAAUGUUUUUAAUAUUGAAACAAAUUUUGUUUUUUGAUAUUAUUUUUCAAUAAAAUAUAGAUUUGACCAAAUAAGAAAACUUUAAAGUAAAGUUUGUUUUUACAUAUGUAUUUUAAAUUAAUCUUAUUUAACAUACUUUUUGUGUCAAGAUAUACACAUAUUUUAUGUGUAAAACUAUAUAUUAAAUGAUGAUAUAAUGCAUGUUUAAUGUGUGAAACUAUAUAUUAUAUUAAUUGAUGAUAUGAUAACAAAUAAAAUAAUAUAUUUAACAUAUAAUAAGUUUUAUUAUAAUAAAAAUAAGUGAAUCUUUUAAAAAUAAAAUAACAUCUAAGAAACCAUAUAAUAUAUUAGGUACAGAGAAAACUAGAAUUGGUAAGAAACCAUGAAUUUGGUCAAAAUCGAGUGAGCAAACAGAGGAAGCCGUGAAAGAAAGGAAAACGAACUAUAAACUCUAAGUUCCACGGAUUGGCAGAAGAGAAUAACUCAAAAGGUGGAAAAGAUGAAUUAGUAAGUGAAAAAGAAGAAGCUAAAGUUACAAAUGUUUUUAUAUGAUAUAAACCUCUAAACGAAGAGGAACAUAGACGAAUCGGUAGAAAACCUUACCUAUUGAACUGAGGUGAGUUUGAACAAAUUUACCUAGCGAUUGGAGCUUCAGUCAUGGCUCUGACACCAUGUUAGAAGUGGACUUUAAGCCAAACUCAACUCCACAAAACUGGCUUGUAGGGUGAGAUUUACACCCACUUAUAUACACUUAAAUGGCCUCAUCUCUAGUCGAUGUGAGACUUCCAACAAGUUUCCUACCUUAAAAAUGAACAAACAAAGAAAAAACUAUGAUAGAAAGGAAAUUAGACUACAAAGACGAAAAGUGAAAAUCAUAACAUGCAGAAAGACUAGGAUUAAUAGAAAAUAUUUAGUGAUUACUUAAAAAAAAUUAUUUUAAAAAAAUAAAUAUUAAGAAUAGUUUUACUCAUUAAACUACCAAAAUUACUUGAGGUUAUAAAAACCACCCGAAAAUAACUUUUUUUAUUGUUUUUGUAAUGAUAAUAACUUAUAAAUUGUUGUGUGUUUUGUUGACGAAGACGGUCAAUAUUCUCUAAAAAAAAUCUUAAAUAAAAGUUAAAUAUAAGUGUUUGAAUAAUCUAAUGAAAACAUUUCCACUAAUUAACUUGGUACUACAUUAUUUAUCAAUAUCAAUUAAUUAGCAAGAUGUAUCAUGUGAUUGCCUCGUGGACAACUAAGAUCAAUAAGUCAAACAUUCCAUGCAAUUUGAUAGGUGUCAUGAGUAUAAGAAUUUUCCGCGUUACCAAUGUGGGGUCCGCACUUUGUAUAAUAUUACCUACUUAGUAUUUUUAAGCAUCCCUCGUCUUUUGAAUUCCAAAAAUACCCUUACAACCUCAAUAUUAUUACCAAAUUAAACUUCUAAUAUAAUAAUAGUAACAGUUAGCUAAUUUAUAUUUGAUUUUUUUUUCUCAGUUGUAAUUUUAAUAAUGUAUUUUUACAAAAAAUAUAAUUUGGUUUUAAAAUUAUUUUGUAUAAUUUAUCACAAUAAUCUAAUAUUAAUAAUUUUAUUAUUUUUAUUCAGAAAUUAUUUUUAAGAUUUAAAUAUAUUAAAUCAAUAUUAAAUUAAUAUAUGGCAAUUGAUUUCUGUAACUGCUAUCCUUCUCAGUAUUGUAAAAAAAAAAGCCGUUAUAAUAAUAUGUGAUGUUAAAGACAACUUUAUGGUGAUAGAUAAUUAAAUUAAAUUAAAAAGUGAAACUAUGUAUAUACAUUUAAAAAUUAACAGGUUAAAAUUAUAUACAAAAUAUACAAAAGUUAAAAAUAAAAGAAAUGAAUUUUGAGCAAGUUGAUAGAGAUCAAAAUAAUCUUUAAACUAUUUUUCAAUAAAACUUUUGUAUGACUUUUUCAUGGCUGACUACGAGUUUAUGAUUGUUGAAUUAUCUGUAUAUAAGUUACUGGUCAAUAAAUUGUAUCUAUUUUCUAAUAAUAAUCCAAAGAAAUAAAUUAUUAAAAAUACAAUUUUAGGCCUUUCAACAAUUAAAUAAUUUUUAAUUUUAACCACUAUUCUUGGAUUCUAAUUAAUGUUUAAUGAAGAGGACACACAUCAUUUAGAUAGAAUCAUAUAAAAGUAAAAUUCUCCAUUUAAAACCAUUAUUAAAAUUUCGGUAAAAGAAAUCAUGAAUAGAAAUAAAUUAUUCUCAUAUGAGUUUUUUCAAAGAUGAACCAUUACAUAAAAUUAGUUAAUACAUUAUUUCAAAUACAUUAAAACUUAAUAAUAUUUUUCUAAUUUUAUAAUGCAAAACCAUUUAUGCUAAAUGAUUUGUUUGAUUAAUGUUCCAUGUAUAUAUGAUUUAUUUAAUAAAUACCAUAUCUAUUUAUUAACUUUUUAUUAAAUUAUUUCUAUAAAUUAUAAUAUAGUAAACAAUUUAAAAACGAAUUCUUUUUAAUUAACCUUAAUAUAUAUAUAUAUAUAUAUAUAUAUAUAUAUAUAUAUAUAUAUAUAUAUAUAUAAAUAAAUAAAAGAUCUGGCUCUAUUGAAUAGAUUAAACAGGACUCUAGAAUUGUUGUAUAUAUGUUAAUAAAAUUGUUCUGUACAAAGAAAUUAUUUAAUAAUAUUUAAUAAAUUGAUAAAAUGAAUAUAUUUAGUAAAUUUAAUUAAUUAUUUAUUAAAUACUUUUUUACAAUAUUAUUACAAAAAUGUAACACUAAUUAAUAUAUGUACCAAAAUAGUUAUCUUUUUUUAAAUUUUCUUAAUUUUGUAUUCUUUAAAAUUACAAUUUAUGAAUUAUCUAUAAUAAAUCUAAGAUAUAGUUCAUAUAUAAAAAUAUGUAUUCACUAUAAAACUGAAUAUAAUUUACAUACUAAAAAACUAUUUAUUUAUCAUUAAAAAUAAUUAUAUAAAAUAAAUAUUUAUUCAAUAUAUUUUUUAUUUUUUAAAUGUUAUCAUUCUCUAAAUGAAUACAGGUUACUUAUCCAAUAUUUUUAAUCCUUUUGAUUGUUGAUUUUUUAAAUAAAUUUUAGUUUCAAAGUUAAUUUUUAAUAACUACUUUGUCUUUAAUUCAAUUAAUACACCUUAUUAUUGCAGUGGAUUUUUAAUUUAAUUUACUUAUUUUUAAAUAUUGCUUUAUGAAAACGUUUCUAUAAUUAAAUAUUUGUCUUACUUAAAAUAAAUGCGUAUGGGCUUGGUGGAAGGGCAUUUAUGAGAAAGUGAAAAAAGAUGUAUAGAAAUUCACUAUACGGUAACUAUACGGUAAGGGUAACGUACAUUGAAGAGAAACGCAUGUCUACGCUUCUGCGUGGCACUUCACGUCAACUGUGGUUUUGGAUUUUCUUCUCUCUCCAUUUCGCUUUCUCUCUCUAUAUAUUUGCUCUCUCUUGUUCCUUUGUUUUCUCUGCCUAUGAACCUCUUUUCUCCUUCUCUUACAAACUCUGACUUUCAGCUUCAGCUUCUGUUUUUCUUUCACUAUUUUUUUCUGCUUCACAUUUUGCAAUUUUUAGACAGAAGCAGAGAAGAGUUCGCACAACAUUGUUAGGUCAGUGCAUUUCCGCAGGCUUCCUUUUAGAUCCUCUGUCCUCUUGUUCACGUUUAGAUUACUGUAUUUCUAGAUUUAUUUAUUUUUAUUAUUUUGAAUCUGUGUUUAUGGAAUUUUAGAUUAUGUUUGUUGAUGUUGGUUGGUACACAGUGUGAUAAAUUUUUAGAGAUUAUGUUUGCUUCUUAAUUUAUUGUUUUUCUCAAUUGUUUAGAUGGUUUCAUUGUGUGUUUCUGUUACUGUUGCUGAGAUAUUGUGAUGCUAUGAGAAAGAUGAUAGUGUUGUGUUUAUGAUUAAUCUAGUUUAAGUAGGUGACUGAAUUUUUGAAAUUUUUCUUACACUAAUUUGUAUUUUACAGUCUCUGGAUUGGUGCAGAGAAUUUGUUUUUUGCAGUCAGGGAAAACAGGCGGGGAAGAGGAUGGAUUUAUUUUAUUAACUUUAAUUUUAUACUGCACGUGUUUUAUUUGUUGAAUUUAGAUUCCACUUUAUUUGUUCAGCAGACUUUUUGGUCCUCUGAUGGCAAGUGAUUCUUUUGUGAUUUCCAAUGGCAAUGGCAAUGGCAAUGAAAGUGGCAAUGGCAAUGGCAAGUCAGAGCCUCUUCCACAGAGGACUUACCAAGCAGUAGUGAUUGCCACCAGAGACAUGGGCAUUUCUAAGGAUGGAAAAUUGCCCUGGACGUUACCCACUGAUCUCAAAUUUUUUGAUGAGAUCACUACUAUAACGUCUGAUCCGGGGAAGAAGAAUGCUGUUGUGAUGGGUAGAAAAACAUGGGAGAGUAUCCCUCCUGAGGAUAGGCCUCUUCCUGGUCGCCUUAACGUUGUUCUGACUCGCUCGGGUAGCUUUGAUAUUGCAACUGCAGAGAAUGUUGUAAUAUGUGGAAGUGUGUCUUCUGCUAUGGAACUGUUGGCUGCUUCUCCGUACUGCCUGUCAAUUGAGAAAGUAUUUCUUACAGGAGGUGGUGAGAUAUUCAGGUAUAUUUAUAUUGUAGUUACCUUCCUGCUUCUUCCUUUUGUAAUCAUAUUAAGUUUUCUUUUUUAACGGUGAUAAUUGUUAUGUACAGAGAGGCUCUCAAUGCACCUGGAUGCGAAGCUGCUCAUAUUACAGAAAUUGAGGCAAGCAUUGAGUGUGAUACUUUUAUGCCUCGAGUUGAUACCUCUCUAUUUCAGUCAUGGUAUUCAUCAUUUCCUUUGGUGGAAGACAACCUCCGCUAUUCUUUCAACACUUAUGUGCGUGUAAGGAGUUCUCCGGCUGAGUCCCUAAGUCAGAAUGCUGAUCCAGUUUUUGAUAAUGGUUCAGACUCUUUAAAAUUUGAGGUCAAUGAAUUUUCUUUUCUUCCGAAAUUCAUUUAUGAGAGACAUGAAGAAUUUAAGUAUCUAAGUUUGGUUCGAGAAAUUAUUUCUGAAGGCACAAUUAAGGAUGAUAGGACAGGGACUGGUACCUUGUCGAAAUUUGGCUGCCAGGUAACACCUCGACUGCUCUGUUCAGCAGUUUCAAUGAUUUAUAUGAAUGCUUACACUUCUCUAUAAUUCCACAGAUGAGGUUUAAUCUGCGCAGAAACUUUCCGCUUCUAACAACCAAGGUAUGUAUGAAUUUGUAUAAACUACUGCAUAUUAAUUUCUUAUUUUUUUGUUUCGUUUCCUUAUGUUAUUUUGAUGUAAUUGUUUGUUUUGUCACUUUUAAUGUUUAUGAAGACUGAGGAAGAAUAUAUAUUGUACUUCAUGAUAUAAAAGUUGACUUGAUUUCUUAAUUUGGUUCCUAGAAAGUAUUUUGGCGAGGGGUUGUUGAGGAGCUUCUUUGGUUCAUCAGCGGCUCAACAAGUGCCAAGGUAAUGAUAUUUUACCAAUCUUUUCCGCACAGACGUGCAUACAUGCCCUUUUCUAGUUAUGUUAUUGUUCACGAAGUCGCUAGCACGAACCAAAUAUUGGGGAACUAGAUUGGUUUACUUGAUACUAUUUUAGCUUGGUAAAGAAUGGGGAUAGACACAUGGAAAGCUUUGGAGUCUCCUACCCAACUCAUUAUUCCCCCUUUUUUUUUUCUUUUCAGAUUUUUAAUCGACUUAUACAUUGUUGUGUUGUGAGUCAAAAUGAUAUAACAUGUUUGAAUCCUUAUUAAUCUGUACACUGAUGACUAAGAUAUCAAUACCUUUUAUGUUCGACGAUUUAUUAGUGACUAAACGUCGUGAUAAAGCCGGGCUUUCGAGAAUUUGUAGGCUGGCUUUACAUUAGUUGCCUCUAAUUUUAAUAAUAAAUGCCUAUGUUCAUGAAAUUGGGGGCUUUACAUUAGUUGACUCUAAUUUUGAUAAUAAAUCCGUAUGUCCAUAAAAUUGGCAUUAUUGUGAAUUUGGAAGUGAGUUUAAGGGGUAAUUAAUCUUUACAAAAUGGGUUUAUAAAGUGAGAAAUGUCUCUAUUUGUAUUUUGUAAAUUGAUCAUAUACUCAAGUUUUUUUUUAAAUCUAUUUGCAAUGGUUAAAAUAUUAUCAUAAAACGGUUUCGUGAUGACAUGACUAGCACCUGGAUGUUGCAUUAUUAAUAUUGAUUAAUUUUACCAAAACACAUGCCUCAAUAAUAUAGCUUAAUAGCUUCCUGUUAACAAUUUUUAGUUAUUUUUCCAAACAUAGUAGAGUAUAAAAAGCUGCUGAACCAAAAUUCAAUUAAAUCACUGUGUUGCGUAAAGGCAUAUUAGUGGUUUACAAGAAUAACUCGCUGGUUCAUUAGAUACGACCAGAGUGAAUUUUAUUCUGAAAUCAUUUUGUAUUGACAGGUGCUGCAAGAAAAAGGCAUUCAUGUCUGGGAUGACAAUGCAUCUAGAGAAUACCUUGAUAGGCAAGCAUGACCUACUAAUUUUUGUACGAACUACAAUUUUUUCUUCUCCGUGCAUUUGUUAACUGGAUUUACAAUUUAUAUACAGCAUUGGUUUGAGAGAAAGGGAGGAGGGUGACUUAGGACCUGUUUAUGGGUUUCAGUGGAGGCACUUUGGAGCCAAGUAGGUGGAUGUACCUUAGUUUUAUGUCAUUAGGAUCAUUUUGUGGCCUUGCUUAGUUCCUUAUUAGUUUUCCAUCUUACAUUUUACAGGUAUACUGACAUGCAUGCUGACUACUCUGGCCAAGGAUUUGAUCAGCUUCUGGAUGUUAUUGACAAGAUAAAGCAUAACCCUGAUGAUCGACGGAUCAUUCUUUCAGCUUGGAAUCCAUCUGAUCUUAAAUUGAUGGCACUUCCCCCCUGCCACAUUUUUGCGCAGGUCUGCAGCUAUAUUUGGGUUUAUCUUGGAAUAACUAUUUCUUUCUCUCGUUCUCCUUUCAUGAAGUUUUGUCAACAAAAAAAUUUCUGCAGUUUUACGUAGCAAAUGGGGAAUUAUCGUGUCAAAUGUAUCAGCGAUCUGCGGACAUGGGCCUGGGGGUGCCAUUUAAUAUUGCAUCUUAUGCUCUCCUGACAUGCAUGAUUGCUCAUGUUUGUGGUAAGCAAAUCAUUUCAGUGUUAUAGACUUAAAUUUGUUCUCAGACGUACAUGGCAUCUUAAUUCCUUUUCAUGAUACAGAUUCGUCAUUAUUUGAUUUUAAAUGAUUUUAAGCUGAUUAAUGGGUUAUGAUUCACAAAGGUUUUAUAUAAUUAUGAUUAGCAUACUUUUUGUAUGGAAUGGCAAAAUAGUCCUUUUGGAUGCCAAUAAUCAGAUUCUCUGAAAAAUUAGAAUGCUCUUAAAAAGAAAGAUAUAGGUUUGGGUGUGUUCUGUUUCACCGUUUAAAGUUUGGGUGUGGCUCAGAUAUAUUUGGGUUGUAAUCUUACGUAGAGAAAUACAGCAUUUAUAUUAAAAUAAAAUUGACAUCAGAUAUCGGACUGAUCUAACCAUAUCAUAUCCUGUUCUUGUCAGACCUUGUUCCGGGUGAUUUUAGUCAUGUUAUCGGGGAUGCACAUGUUUACCGCAAUCAUGUGAGACCUCUUCAGGAACAGCUUCAGAAUCAACCAAAACCUUUUCCGGUAGGUGUAAAUGGUAGAAAAACAUUUUCUUAACGUAGAUGCCCACAAAAUAUUAACAAUUAUGCAUUCUUAUAAACUGCCGUUUCCUUGUUGAUUGCCUAUACCUCAAUUCAGAUUUUGAAGAUAAACCCAAAGAAGAAAGAUAUAGAUUCCUUUGUUGCUGCCGAUUUCAAGCUCAUAGGAUAUGACCCUCACAAGAAGAUAGAAAUGAAGAUGGCUGUUUAGGGAUCUUGUACGAUUCUCAAACCCUGCUUCUAUGCUUUCUGAAAUGGGGCAAUAUAUAUAUAUAUAUAUAUAUAUAUAUAUAUAUAUAUAUAUAUAUAUAUAUAUAUAGAUAUAGAUAGAUAGAUAGAUAGAUAGAUAGAUAGAUAGAUUAUAUUUGCUUGAUUUUAUUUAUGUAAGGAAUUUUUAAAUUAUCUGGUUGACAUUUGCACCUGUGGCAAACAGAAAAAACUGCUGAUUAGGAUUCAUAUUCAGUAAAUUCUGCUCUUCCAAAAAACGAAAAUUGAAGUAAAAUUGGCUUUUCAAAAUUUUGUAUUACACGACAUAAAAAUUUUGAAAACAAACUUCACUGGUAAUUUUCUGAAUUUAAAGGCGCACACUGAAAAUACGUUAUUAAUUUAUUUUUCUCAAAUUUACAGAGAAUGCAUAGGUAGUGCUGUACAUUUUUUUUAAAGCAUAGUCACUGGAUAUGUGUUCCAUAUUUUGGUCAUCAAACUAAAACAUGGUAUUUUUCAUUGUUUCAGGUAUAACCAUAAGACCUAUAUAUUAAAUUUAUGGACAAAUAAAAGAAUAUCGCUGGAUAUACUUUAAGCUUUGCUUGUUACUACUGGGAAUCCUUUAGGUCCACGUGUCUCGUGGCUCUAAGGUGAUUUAGGUUAAGGGUUUUUUUCAUUUCUUUUCCAUUGUCCUGCUAUACUUUUGACUUUUGAGGUAUUUUUAAUAUGUAUUGUGUUGGCCAUUUUAUUAUGAUUCUUUAUCUCCUCCGGCCACAGUAAAAAUGAGCAAAGGAUGGAUUCAAAAAAUACAUAUAUGUAUCAAAACUCAAAGCUGCUUAAAAGAUGUUAAUUAUUUAUAUCUUACCAGCUUUUCUGAAUUUUCCAUGGAUGUCUGGGUGCUGCAGCUCUUUUCUUUAUGUAAAUAUUAGAGACUCCACAGUCCACCCGUUUUGGAUCUUCGGUGAAUCAAAUGCUAAAUUGGCGUAAGAUUAGAGAUAAUAAAUAAGAGCAAAGAUAUUUACCAUAAAAUGUUAGAAGUGAUGUGACCUAAAAUAAAUUAAGAUUAAAAUUUAAAGAAACAUCAAACAUAUCUUGGUAAGUAUUUCUUAUUCUUUUGUUUUAAAGUUGAGUUGACUUAAUUUUUAGUGUGGUUGAAAUGUGUGCAUUAUAGGUUUUAGAUGCGUAAAAGUUUGACUUGUGUAAAAUCAAACAGGUUGAUCUGUUUUGUUAAUCAUGGAUUGUAAGAUUAUGCAAUUAGUAAAUAAAGCCUUUGCAAGAAAUUACAGUGAAUAUUUUUAACUAACGUUAGUAUUUAUUAAUACAAAUUGAUAUUUAUAUAUUAAAAAAUUUACAUUGAAUCAUUACUAAGUUUAUUUCUAUAAAAUUGUAUUUAAAUUAGAUACUUUUUAAAUAUAUAAAUUAUGACAAACUAGAGUCGACCUUGACGAAUUAGAGUAGUUCAUUAGUUUAUAUGUUCUAUUACAUGAUAAUGGACAAUAUAUUUCAACAAUUCCUUUAGGUUAUAAUCGGCUUUUUUACGAGUCAUCCAAAAUAUACAAACAAAAAUAUGAACCUUGGGAAACAAGGUGGUGACGUGCAUGGCGGCAGCAGCAGCACCGCUUAUGGCGGUUACGCAGAUGGUCAGAUCAGAGUAGAAAGUGGAAGAAGAAUUUUUAUAAUUAUGUACUAUCGUGCUUUAAGAAAAAUAUAAGCAUUAAAUAUCUUAAAAUAAAGAAAUAUGUUGAAGUGAAAUUUACUUCGUUAGUAAAGUUUAUUUUUUUUCUUUUCAUGAAUAAAAGGACGGAAAACAAAAUUAUCUCUCUUCAGUGUCACACUAAAGAAAUUCUUUAAAUAAACUGGAUGGGUUUAAUCCUUAGAACACUAUGUUUAUCUAUAGUUUCUCCUUUAUUUUUUGUCGUUUCUUUAUACAAAUUAUAGUUAUAAGUCUAAUUGCACCAAGUGUUUGUUAUGAUGUUCAUUUCACUUGACUCAAAUCAUUCAACGGUGAGAGGUACUUUUAUCUGCAAUUCGUGAUUUCGUUUCUUCUCAAGAAGGAGGUCCAUCAGGCUGUUGAGUGCAAUAUCUGGGUCUUCGUCCAGCAAAAACUGCUCCCCUACCUCUGCAGGAGUGACAUCGAUCAUCCCAAGCAAGUUCUCAAUUUGAACAAAAAGAGGGUGCUCCGUGAUCCCAAGGUAAUUGGAAGCCAGCAUUUUGAACCCACCAGGGGUACAGUAAGUCAUGUCAAUGUGCACAUCCAUACGCCCAGGGCGCAAGAGAGCAGGAUCCAAUUUCUUCUUAUGAUUCGUGGUGAACACUACGAUUCUCUCAUUCCCACAACUCGACCACAACCCAUCUAUGAAAUUCAGGAACCCCGAUAAUGUCACCUGCAACUGAAAACAGUACGCGAGAUUCAAAGCCAUUUCUUGAUGCUUGAAAGAAAGAGUAUCUGAAACUAAGAAAAGGAUGUGAUUGUGUUGUAUUAUACCUGGGGUGCUGGAAAUGAGUGAAAAUGGCGUGGGAUGAAGCGGUGGGGUUGUGAUGAUUUAGGUUUUGCAAGCCUAUCCUGCAAAUGAAGGGAGCAAUCAAUGUCCUCCACGACAAGAAUGGAACGGUUCCUGGUGGCAAUCAACAACCUCCUAAGGUCAGAAUUUCCAUUAACAGCAGUGAGUUCUAAGUCAUAGACAUCGAAAUUCAGAUAAUUAGCCAUAGCAGCAAUCAAACUCGAUUUCCCAGUUCCGGGGGGACCCGAAAGCAAGUACCCUCUCUUCCACGCCUUUCCAACACUCUUAUAUAAACCCUUCCUCUCCACAAACCUAUCUAAAUCCCUAAUUAUCAUCUCCUUCAAUUCCCAAUCCAUCGCCACAGUCGCAAACGUCGCAGGGUGCUCAAGAUUCACGCCCUGCCACAACUUCCCCCUCCCUCCCCUCCGAAACCGCGUGUCCUUCACCGUGAAGAGCCUCAGCGUCUUCCUCCGCUCAUGCACCGCCUCCGCCUCCUUCAUCACGCGCGGAAAAUACUCCGACAGAACCAUCUCCCGGUGCUUCUUGUGGAACCGCACCUCGAAGACGUGCACCGCGGAAUUCGAUUUGCCGCGUCGGGACACGAGCCUCCACCGGAACGGCACGCCGUUGAAGGAGUCCGUGAUCUCGUCGUUGCCGUCCAUGAGGAGGGACACGUGGCGCGAUCUCGAAGACAUCGUGGCGCGGAAGCGCUUCGUGUUCGGCGCCUCCUGCGGCUUGAGGUAGAGCUGCGCCGCGGCGAAGAGCGGGUUCGGAGUGAGCCCGUUGAAUUCGUCGAUAACGAGGGUGAGUUCCGUGGAGAAGGAGGAGAGGAGUUUCGAUAGUUUUGAGUGGAGGUAGUUUUGGAACUCCGGGGGAAUGUAGUUGCGGGUGAACGAGCGCAGGAGCAUCACGGUGGCCGCCACGGACGCCGCCGUGGAGACUACCUUUUGAAAUUUGGGAGUCAUCAUUGGGCCCUGAUUGGGCUGGAAUUUGACGGGCUGCUGUAAUAAUCGCUACGAACAGAAAGAAAAAGAAAACUGAUUAAUAUUAUUGUGAUGACGGGAAUCUAGGUUUUAUUAUUGAAAUCUGAAACUAUCAACUGAUGCAAUUUAUGAUCAUUGAUUUGAAUUUGAGAGUUCAGUUGUUUUCAGUAUUGUUGUUCUCUCGUUGCAUUUUUCUCAUUGACCUUGACUUUGACUAACAGGUCUUAUUUCUUCCACUGCAGGAAACUUCUUUGGAGUUUCACUGCAUUUACCACCUCAAUUCCUCAAAUACCCUUAACUCGGAGUGUAAGGUACGCUUACGCCGUGAUUGACAAAACAAAUUACGAAAAUUGUUGACGUCAGAGUGAUAUCAGAAACUUAAUAACAGAGAAGAAAGGAAAAUAAUAUAGAUUUUGCCAUUUGUUGAAUGGAGAUCUAUUACUAUAAAAAACAUUUAAUAUAAAGUAUUUAAAAUCUAACAAGUAUAAAUUAAUUUAAACUAUAACUAAUUUAAUUACAUUUAACCAAACAAUAUUGAUUGGUUUAAAAAUACUUUCACAAAUGAUGUGAAUACAUCCUUUGAUUUAGACAUGCAAACCAUUCACAUAAAACUAACUCAUGGAAAAUGGUAUAGAUCAACGUAUUUUUAAUUUAAUGUUUGAUUAAAAAUAAUUUAUAAUCAUCCAAAUAUAACAAUAAAAUCAUAUUAUAAAGGAGACGAUAUUUAAAAAGGUAGAUAUAAAAAAAGAAAAUAUAUAAAGUGAAAACUUAGAGAGGGAAAAAAAUCACAUCAUGCAAAGAGAGAAAAAAAAAGUUUUACAUAUCAAAUCUAAAAUAUUGAGAAGUUAUUAUAUGUCCUAAUUAAAAUAAUUAAUUCUUCUAUUACAUAUUUGUAAAUUGAACUUUAUCAUCGUCAAUGCAUGAAUUAGGCUUAGAGAUAAGAAACACUUGCAUUGUUUUUACUUAAUAACACAUUAGAUAUGGUAUUGUUAAUUGGGGUCACACCAAUUAAAAAAGUGACUAAGGAACCAACAAAAUAUCUCACACUUGUGUUCUUAAGGAAUCAGUGAAAGUGAAAGCAAAGCAUUAUCAGAUAUCACAUUGAAAACUAUACAGUACUAUAUACCAUUUUUUUUUCUAGUUCUUUCUAUCACUUCGCUAUUUUAUUUCAUUUUUAUCUCUCUUAUUUGUAUAUUAUAUUUCAUGUUUUAUUUUUGCAAUUUUUUGCAUAUUAUAUGCAUGCAGAAUUAAAUAAAUGCAAGACAUAAUGCAAAAGCAGAAUAUCUAGUAGACGAUGGUGAUUGCCAUGUUGAGCUUCUGCAUGAGUGAUUCUCCCAAUAGGUAGUAAUUAUAUUCGAUACUCAAACUCUUUUUCUUUUUUUCUUCUUUCAUUAUAUUUUUAUUAAAAUAUAUUUUUGACUGGCAACACACUAUUUUUUAAUUUCUAAUUUUUUUGUUCAAAGUUCUUUUUUACCUAAAACGAUAAAUGCAGGCCUGGAUAGCAGUUUUAAAAAAAUAUUAUUAGGUACUAAAUAUAAGUGUUUUUUGAAAAAUAACAUUCUUUUUAUUAUUAUUCUUAAGAGAGAGUAAUGAAUAACGAGAAGACUAUUAGAAUUGAAUAAAAAAAAAACUUUUAUCUUUCUACGUUUCAAUUUUUAAAGAAAUUUAUGCAUUCUAGAUUCCAAAAGUCACAUGCUAUUUUAUUUAAAUAUAAAUUAUAUUUCUUUUCCGUCAAUUUUAAAUUUAUUUCUUCCCGCAGUUAAUUGCAGGUGUCUAAAAAAUAUUUAUUCUUGUAAAAUCUAGUUUCAUUUUUCAUUACAAACCAGUCAAUAGAACUUCUUUCAUGUAACACAACCCUGUAAACACAUAUACUGCACAAAAUUUACGGACAUAAACGAGAAAUAAAUUUUUGACACAUCUAAAUAUUUUAUAUUUAUUUAACAUUACUUUUACUUACUUUUUACUUUUUUCUUUUCAAAAAAAAUUACAAAACUUUAUAUUUUUUAAACCAUUUUAUCCUUAUACUAUGUAUCAAAUAAAUAUAAAAGUGUGUGAUAGUAUUAUUUCUCCACACAAAUAUAUUCUGAAAAUCUUAAAAACAUAUUAAGAGUCGAAACCAAACCUGAGAAUAGCAUCUGUUAUCAUCAUGUCUUGUCUCUCCGGGGAAGUUCCCUCAUCUCCACACUAUUCUCACAUCUCAAGAAUCAGAAUACCUCAUUCACAUCAAUUCUUCUCACUUUUUCUUAUUUAUCUUAAUAUUUCAUCAAAAAUAAUAAUUCAUGAACAUUAAAAAAAGACAAUGAUAUUUUGAUAACUUUUUUUACAAACGGAACACGUGUCAUCAUUUUAUUGGUCUAUUUGAAUUUAUGUUUAAAAAAUAUUUAAAACGGACCAACCACAAACUGUUGUCAAAAAGUUGUUAAAAAGUAUUGUUAAAAAAAGUUUUUCUUUAAAAAAAUUUAUCAAUACUUAAUGCUUCUCAGAGAUAAAAUAAAAACAAUAAAUUUAUUAAUAUGAUAUGAAAAAUAAAAUAUAAACAAAAUCAACUUAUUCAUGAAUAUUUUUUUAAGCCAUGCAUUACAACAAUUACUAACACCAUUUUACACUUUAUCUCACAAAUAAUGAUUAAUAUUAUUGUAAAAUGAAUCUCUCUUUCUACGUAAUUUAUUCAAAUUCCCAUCAUUUAUAAAAGUUAUUAUUUAUUACUUUAUUUACACACUUUUUAAAAUAUACAUAUAUAAUUUUUAUUUUUUUUUACAUUAAGUAAUGAUCUUCUUCUCUUCGAAUCCUCUGUUCCCUGGCAAUGAAAGCCUCCACAGUGCGACGAAAUUCCUCGUUGGUCAUUCCAUCUUCAGGGCAAGAAAUUCGCGCCACUUCUUCAACAGGAACACCUUCAAUCUUCUUCCUUUCCUUCUCAGUCUCACAUCUACGCAACACACGGCGUCGUUUCUGCCUCAAAAUCUCUGUCUCGCACCUUCUAUAACCUUUUUCCAAACUGAUAUUUUUUUCCCCUGUUUUCAUCCUCUGUUUCUUUCUGCUAUACUCUGCCACAGCUUCUUGGUUUUUUGUUGUGUUUUGAAUAAACUCUUGGUACAGAUUGGGCUCCGGAACAACGUUGUUACCCUGAGCGGAGAACUGCGCGAAGAGUGCGAUGAUUAUGAUGUUUCCGACGAGGAAGACAAAGCGAGGACUGUUCAUGAAGAGUGACAAGUCUCUGAAAUACUCGCCGGAGUUUCUCACUGCAACCGGAAGCUGCAUGGAGAACCUUGAAACCAAGACCAAAACCGCACACACUUCGAUGAUUCGGAACAAGCUUGCGACCCUUCGAAGCUUGCGGUGUUUGAGGAUGGCGUUGGCUUUCUCUGUUUGAAGGUUAUUGAAACUGAAGGAGUCCAUUGCUUGAAGGGUUGAUGCAGAAAGAAACAACAACUCGUGUUAUGUGUUUCACUGAAAGGGGAAUAGAAAUUUGUCUACGGCAAUAGAAUAUGUAAGAAAUGAUGUUGCAGAGAACAGUGAAUAAGCUUCUACAGUUGGAAGCAUGGAUACAGAAACAAAAGCCAAGUGAAUGUAAUGUGAACUGUAAAAUGUGAACAGAGAGAACAGAGUGCUUCUGUUUGGUGCUAUGAAGCUAUGAAGUUGUGCUAUUCCAUCUUUAUAGACCAGAAUCCAAACUUUUAAGAAAAUAAUAAAAUAAAAAUAUCUCAAUAUUCCAUUAUCUACUUUUUUUUAUCCCUUCCCUGUGUAUGUAUCAAAUUAUCUUUACCUUUUUUUCUUCCUCACUUCAUGUAAAAUUUAUGAUUCAUAUGAAGGUAUUUUUUUAAAAAAAUAGUCUAAUCUUCCUUCCAUAUCCCAUGCGAAGAAGAAGUCGUCUAUCUUUUAGAUGACUUCAGCUCAGUCAUAUGAAAAGUUGAAGUCCAACAUUUCUCGACUUCAUAUUAAAUUGUUAUUAAUUAUAAAAAAUGGUAAUUGAUUAUUUAAUUAGUGUUUCGGUUGCGACGUGGAGUUACUCUAAACACCUUCACAAUCUGUUUUUCAAUAUUGUCUGGUCUCUUUUUUUGGACUCUUUCGUUCUUUCCUCUCGUGUUCAGAGGUGUACCUAUCAAAGAUUUUGCAAUGCUUAAGCCAGUGUGUAGUUCGUUAAUAUGAAAUCAAUAAUAAAUAUGUAAUAUAUGUGAACCACCUACCUCUUAUCUAUGACCUGUAUUUAUAGUUUUCGCAAUGGAUUUAAGAUUAGCGAAAUCUUAAUCACGGCCUAAUACUGGUCCAAUGACUUUUAAUCAUAUCUUAUCUUAAAUCUUACGUACACAUGAUUAUUGGUUCUGACCGACCAUUCAUCUUAGACCGUCCGGUCAGGUGUUUUUACAAGGUGGUUCUAUGGUUAUAUUGGAACGUUUCUGAGUUUAGCACGAGAUGAAGUGCACAAAUUAAAAUGAUCACGUAGUCGUCCGGUCCAUCUGGUAUAAACGGUGUUAAAGAUAAAAUCGUCUAUUUUACACUAUUUCAUUGUCGAAUUUAUUUAUUCUCAGACAACUUCAUCUAACUUUAAUAAUUCAUAAUAAUUAAUUAUCGAUUAAUGUAAUCGAUUAUAAUUUGUUAAAAUCUGUCUAUUCUAAUAUUCUCAUGAUAUAAAAAAGCAUAUUUGUAAAAAAACAAAACUUCGUAUCUAGGUUAGAAUUAUUUUAAAUAGCUUACUUUUUUACCAAAAUUUUAAAUAACAGUGACAUGCUGUGGUUUUACUGAUGAAUUAAAGAUGAAGUCGUAUUAUAUACUUUUUUUGGUUAACAGUGAUGAAUAAUCCGAACAAAUUGAACAGAACUUGAAUGUGUAGAAAUGUAGUUUUAGAUUUGUUUUCAGAAUUUAAAUUGUGGGUCAUUGUUCUAAGAAAUUACUACGAGAUAUAAAUAAGAAAUAUUUUAAAUAUAUAACUAUGCACAAAUCUCAUUUUAAAUCCAAAUUUAUAAUUUUAAAUUAAGUUUAAAAUCAAUUUCUUAAAAAUCAACAUAUGAGUCAAAUAAUUAUUUACAUAAAAAAAAGCAUCGUCAUCUAUUCUCUUUGUAUGCAUUAUACUCUGAAUUAUUUGUGGAACUUGGAAUAUUCUUCUUUCUGAAAUGUCUUUGGACUGAGAGGAAUAACUUGAGGUUGAUAUUGAUAGCUUUCAGUUCCAUUGUUAUGAGGGGUGACAAUUGGCAAUAUUUAAAUAAAGUGCCGUAUAAUUCAAUCUAAACUCGAAAAAAAAAAAGUGAAAGAAAAUAAUAAAGAGUAUAAUUUUUUAUUAUGAAAUAUUAUAAACAAUUUUAUCUAACUCAAUACAAAUAAUUUAUUUAUGACUUAGAGAUAAAACCAAAAGACUGCAAUAUUUUAUUUCUGUUUACUGUCAAUCAUGUCAACAUAAAUUUUAGUACAUUUAUCUAUAUAGAUUAUAAGUGAUUAUAGAAGAUACAAUAUAGGUCUGAAAUUAACGAACAAAAAACUAUAGAGUUCCGUUAAACUUCUGUCCGACACUUUUUUUACAAUUUUUUCAGGCGUUCGGUCACUUCUCGCUCUUACAGUCAACAACUUUCACUCCCAUGUAGAACACACUCUUAUCCAAGCUGGUUGGAUACAUGUUAAAAGUAAUCCGACGUUCAAGUCAGUAUGAGUAAAAGGUAGAGAUAGAAAGAAAAAAUAUCUAGAGAGAAUAACCAACUACCUUUCACCCUUGAUUCAUAUUUAUAGUUUCUGUUAUGGGCUUAAAAUUAACUUCUUUCUAAUUACGGUCCAAUCUCUGACCCAUCUUCUUUAAUCGUGUUUUACCUUUUAAUCCAUUUUUAAUGUCUCCUGUCAACUUACACUUGGCUCCGUCCGUCUCAAGCGGUCAGUUGUCACGAAAGAUCAGGUCCUUCGUGACGGGAAUAUAUGUUAGGACAUUCGUCUAUGCAGAAACUUUUCAAAGCUGAGGACGUCCGUCACCUUCUAGGUAAAGUGGUAGCGGAGUGAGAACCGCUUGUAUAGUUCGUUUAAGGCUUAUUGAAGAACCUGUCGUCCGCGAGGAAGGACAUAUCCGAAUGUUUUAUGUGGACCCGGACCAUAUGGUACAUAUAGGAUCUAAAACAAUAUAAUAGAUUAUAUUUAACUCUAUUUUAAUUAUGCAAAUAUAAAGUUUAGAUUAAAUAAAAAAAUAAAUAAAAUCAGUAGAAAAAUCAUAAACUUAAUAUUUUGCUGUUUUAAAUGAAACAUAGUACGAAAUUGAUUUAUGAUGUUUGUUUAAUCCAUUGUUUCCUGUAUUUUCCAAAGAGGGACUACUCUAUGAAAAGACAGAAAAAGAAGAUUUUGAUGCGAAGCAAACACGGCUUCUACAUGUCUUACCCCUUUUGGUAUUUUUUUGGAAUCUAGUGCAAUUUUUUUUUUAAAUUAUUAAAAUAGGCACAUUUUUUAAUCACUACAAAUAGAUAAAUCAUAUUAAUUCCACAAAACUCAUCUAUUGUUAAUUAAUUGCAAAUUUAGGCAGAUAAGUGAAGGUAUUUUAUUUAAGUGAUUGUUAACCAACGGGUAUUCAUAUCCAUUAUCCAUCAUUAAUAUUAAAAUGCUUAAAUGUAUUGGUAAUUUACAUUUUAUAUAAAAUUUUAAAAUAUUGUUUUUAAUGUUAAAUUCUAAUUUUAACAAUUAAUUAAUGAUAACUUUUAUGUAGACAUGUGAUUAAAAUGAAAUUGGCAAUAAUAAAUAGCGAAAUGGGUUUAAAAUUUGGAGCAAAAUUGAUGUGACAGGAAUGUUUGAAAAUGAAUAAGUAGUUUUGUUAUGAUAUUUUUGAGUUAUGUUGUGGAUAUGGUUCCAGAUUCUGCAUUAUUGAAAUCAGGUCCUUCCCACGGAAUCAAUGAAACCUUGGGUAGCACUAUACACACGGGUGUUCCCUUCAACCAUCACUUCUCUCUGUUCUUGCUUAUGCUACCAAACUUCUCUCAAGUAUCUCACAGAGGAUCAAGCAUAAUGCUUCUCAAUAUAAAACAACACAUCAAAAGUCGUUACCAAGUAAAUGUUCUAAUUUUAUGUUUCUUCACUGAUACAACUAAAUGUAGGUACCAAAAGCAAAAGGGAGUUACUCCCUGUACCUCCCCAAUUCCAACUCCCACCCCCCAAUUUUUUUGGAUUUUUUUUAAAUACAAAAUUAAUCUUUAUGUUUUUUUUUAUUUUUACCGUUUUACACCUAUUUACUAAAGUUAACCUACUCUUUUACAGUCUGCCUCAGUCAAAACACACAGACUCAAAUUCCUCUCCUUCGUAUUCCCACCCCCACUCCCACCAAAGCUUUUUGAAACGCUCCUCCUCCAAACGCUCUCUGCAACUCUCACUCUCCCAUUUAUACGUUAAAAAUAUAUUUAAAAAUAAUACAUCAAAACAUAUAAAUUCCAUUAUUAAAAUAUCUGAAAAUUAAUAUAAAAAGUAAACUAAUAAAACAAAUCUUAAAAAUGGAAUGGGGGGGUGGGGGUUAGAAUUGGGGAGGUACAGGGAGUAACCCCCAAAGCAAAAUCUUAGGUUUAAAAUGGGCCUGUUGGGCCGCAAGCCCGGGAUAAAUAGGAAAUCAUGUCUCUCUUAAAUACCUAGGGUUUUCGGUGGCUUUAUCUUUCGUCUCUGGCUGAAAGAAACAGUGAAAACAUUUUUUUUUACCUCUCACAAGUUGCAGCUAAGAUCCUGGUGUGAUUUAUUUUUCUUCUCUGCAAAAUCUCUGAAAUCAUUAUCCCUUUCGUUUCCCAAUCCAUGUGAUUUGUGAUUGAAUUUAUUGGUCAUGGGUUGCAGACUCCGAAGAAGGAUAAGGCUCCUCCACCUUCCUCCGAGCCCGAAAAAUUUGACGGUGGCAAGCAACCUUCCGUUCUCUCUAAGCGUAUGAAGGUAUGGUUUUCUUCUAUUGUUCUGUUAAUUUGAUUUCGGUAGUUCUUUUGUAGAUACGUUAAUUUCUCAGAGAGAUCGUAUCUGUUGGUGUUGUUUUGAUGCGCAUUCAUUCUCAUGAGUCAAUGUGGGCUUUCUGCAUGUUUCAUCUGAUCGAGUGUUAUUUUGUCGUAUCAUGAUUAUUCAUUACCCAUGACAUAUAAGAGAGUUAAUUGCCCUAAUAGGCUCUAACUCCCUAUUAAGCUCUUAAUUGCCCUGAUAAAUAAGAGAGUUAAACGUCAACCUAACUCUUUCUUAUAUAUUAUUGUAAUAUGGGAAUUGUACAUUAUUUAUCUAUCAGAAUUUAUUCUUAUUUUUAGCCGAUUUGAUUUGGCAUCUUCAACCAAGCUGAUUUAUUAUGCUUUUUAUAUAUUUUUUAUUUUCUCACUAUGCAAUUAAACUUUCCGAAUUUUAUUGAUUUUGUUAUGUGCUUAUAAUUUUAUAAGUUAGUUUCUUGAUUCGAUUCAUGAACUUUGGUUAUUUAUGAUUCUAAAUGUUCUGAUAUACAAAUUAUAUUUGUUUUUUAAACUAUUUCAAUUUCAUGAAUAUAAUUUAGCUUUAUGCUUUGGAACUCAUAUAAGUAAUUACAAAUAGACCUGGAAAUCAAUAAUACGCAAUGAAGUAGAGGAAAAUUAAUAAAUUAAUCAUUACUGGAAACUACACGUUUUUCAUUAUAUAAAUACUUCUGUUACAUAUAUGUCCAUGAGCCUUCAAUAGUUACAUAAGAAAAUAUAUUUUUAAAAAUAAUAUUUCAUAAAUCUUCAUAGAAAAAUAUAAAUCUAUGGAGUUUCAAUAUAUUUAUUAAUGUUUUUCUUGCCACUUUAUUUUAAUCUAAUAUAAUAUUCAAACAAAAAUUCCUCACAUUAAAUAAUGUGUAUCAUAGACAUGGAUACUAUAAAAAUGGUACUCGUUGUAUUAUUAAUAAUUAAUAAAUAUAUUGUAUGGUACUCGUAUACGAAAUCAAAGUUAAUUAUUUUCCAUAAUAUAUAACGUGAUUUCUUUUAUCAUCAUACUUGUAAGACUUAACUCAUCCUAACUUUUAUGUAUAAAAGCAAGGUUAAAUUAUUUUAUAUUUUUGAAUUUUUAUUUUUAGGCUAUUAUUUAUUUAUUUGGACUCUAAUUAAGAAAACACAUUUAUUUCAGUUUAGAAUUUGGUCUUCAGAUAGUUGGAUUUUGAUAUUACAUGUUUUGAAAUCAAAGACGUAGCCCAAGUGUGGAUUCCUUCUAUUUUUUGAAUCUCCUAACAUUGUUUACUGUUGUGCAAGAUCGCUUAUACUUCCAAUUGAAACGACCAUGAACACACUAAAUUUUCAAUCAAAUGCAUGAUUGAACUCAAUAUUCUGUUAAAGAGGAAGUGUGGUAUAGAUUUGAAAGUAUUGGUGAGAGAUGUAUGAAUGUGGUAAAUGAUGUUGGAGUUGUUGUUGUUGUAUGAGGGAACAUUUAAGUUGCUGUGAUCCUCAUCAUUAUUAAAAAACUCUAAAGAUGGUGAAGAAAUUUCUACAUAUUCAUUUCAAAGUAAAUAAAAAGGUAAUGGUGAUGCGUUUUCAUGGUUGAGGGAAAAAAUUUAAUGUGGAUGGACCAGUUAGAAGUGGGAUGUUUGUAAAUAUGUAUCAUCAUGGUAUUAUCAAAGCAAAAAAAAAAAAAUCACUGCUUGAGAACAACUAACGAUCUCAUCAUCAUAAUACAUGAUUGUUCAUUUGGAAAUUCCAUUUUAAAAUGAAAAAGCAAGAAAAAUUGUAAAACUUUACAAAGUUAAGGAGAAUGCAGAACUAUGAAAUUAGGAGAAAUUGGAGUGUCAAGUUAUGGAAAGGUAAGUGUUAUAUGGUUAUGAGUGACAUGAGAGUUUAUGUACACGAGACUUUAAGUAAUUAUGGUAGUAAUGUGAAUGACACGAUGAGGUUGGGUAGUCAUGUGGGUGACCCAGAAAGUUAUGUAAUCGUGAGUGACACCUAGACUUUGACCGUCCAUGUGAAUUGUUGCAUGAUAGUUUAAGCGUUCAUGUGAGCGAUACAAAAUAUUAGGCAUACAUGUGACUGACAUGCGAACUUAGUCUGUCACCCAUGUAAAUUGUAUGACUACCUGACAUUUUGUGCUACUCAUAUAUGGCUACCUAAACUCUCGUCACACUCACAUGGCUAUCUAAACUCUCGUGUUACUCAUAUGACUACCUAAAUUUGUGUCAUUCACAUGGUUACUUAAGUUCUCAUGCUACUCACAUAAUUACCCACUAUUGUGUCAUUUUCAUGACUAAAUAAAACCUGCCUUACCAUAACUUACACCACUUCUUCGUAACUUCAUACUCACUGCCUUCUCUCUUACAUUGUACAAUUUCAUACUUUUUUCUUGUUUUUUAAUGUGAAAUGGAUUAUUCUAUUGAUGCAAUCAUCUUCAAUGAUGGUUGGAUUGUUAAUUGUCGUCAAACGCCAGUUUUCUUCCCCAUUGAGAAUGUCAUGAUGAUUAAUUAUGCUUAAGCAAUUCAAAGAAAAGCUUCUACAAAAGUCUUGUUGACCGGCACUUGAACAAGUUUCUGCCAUCAUAUACAGAUACUCCAUUCAAAUUUAUGUCGGAGAUGCAUACUACAUUGCAAAUAGGCUUCAAGACGAUGAAUAUUUAAAACUCAAAACCCAACACAAGCUACUAUAGAUGAUGUAUCCCUUCCAUUUAUCCUACUCAAUUUUCAUAAUAUCUCACGAAGAACACAUUUUUCCUUUCUAACACCAUCACACUCACACAUAAUCCACACCACGAACCUUUGAUUUAAACAACGCAUAUUUAGGGGAUUGAGAAACUGAUGUACAAUCUUGCACCCAGUUUCUAACUAGUCCAUUCAGAUAAAUUGUUUUUCCCUCCUAGUCCAUGCAAACACAUCAUUACUUUCUUGAUUGCCUGAAAACGACUGUGGGAAUUCUUUCAACAUCUUUAAAAUCUUUUAGUGAUGAUGAGAAUGACAUCCUCGCAGAACAUGCAGAUGAGAUGAGGAUGACAACAAUUUAGACGUCCUCCUCAUACAAUAACACGACCCCAACACCAUUUAUUGCAUUUACACACCCCUUUCAAACAAUUUCAAACAUAUACCCCACUUCAUGAACAAAAUACUGCGUUCGGUCAUGCAUUUGAUCAUGAGUCGGUGAAACAUCCAUUUGGAACAUUAUUCAAGGGAAUGUGGCUCCUAAACAAAGAACAACAUGUCAACGCGGUCAACAGGUUCCUCGUAAUGAACCACUGUAUCUACAAGGUCAUGUAUUCCAACACCACCAAAUUAAGAGUCUAGGGUGUUCACGACCAUUGCCAUUGUCAAACAAUAUUGCACUCUGGAGAACAAUGUUGGGAUAUUCAAGAGAUUUAAAAGAUAAUAGGAGUACACACGAACCAACAUCAAGGGAUCAGAAGGACCACAAAGAGAAGAGAAUGACAGUGAACAACGAGUUGGCGAAGGAAUUGGGGGUGUAGAGGAGGAUAUAAGAACGAAGAAGUGAAUGAAAAGUGGUUAGUGAGUUCGAUAAAUUGUAAUCUAUUGCUUACCAGCCUUAUUUACUGGGGUAUUUUGGGCAGUUGGAGGUGCAGGAGAAACCCUCCGCUAUCUUUCACCCAAAAGCCCAAAAACAUUAAUUGAGCUUUAUUAGACCAAACACCAACUGGGCCUUUUUGAAUAGUCCUAUUCGAAAAAAAUAUCUUCCCAUUAUUUGCCGAUUCUCUUCUACCUUCAUUUCACAACGGUUGAUGCCCAUUGAUGAGUAUUUAUUCUUAUUUUUCAUUUAGUUUUUUCUGUUUUAUGAAUGUAAGUUCUCUUGUAGAGUUAGUUUGCAUUGCAGAUGGAGGGUAGGUUUGCUGAAGAGCUUUAUGCUGAAAGUUUAGAACUGUCCAAAUUAGAACUCACGUCGACCAUUGCUGUUGAUGAAAAAGAUAAGUUAAACGGUAAGAUGUGGUGUGAGUGAAUUGAUUUGGAAUGAAUGCAUCGUUAUUGUUUUUCAGUCUCUUGCUUUAGUUAAGGCUUUUAAUUUUCCAUUACGGUUUUAGAUCGUGGUGGUGGUGAUGAUUUGAUUUUCUGGGAUGAUUUUGAUGACAAGUUGGAUAGUUCGUUGGAUUUGGACAGGGAGUGGCAGAGGAGGCACGUCCAAUUCCAUACGGUGUUUGUUUUAGCAUGGUUGAAUUAGUUUUCCUUAGUUUUGUUUCUAAUUCUAUACUUCUAUAUUGUGAUUAACUAACUGCGCAUUUUCAAUUCUCCAUAAUAUUUUAGAUAGGAUAUCGAGAUGGUCUUAUAGCUGGGAAGGAAGCUUCUGCUCAAGAGGGGUUCAAUUUUGGUUUUUAGCACCGUGACUGUUUCACUAGUUGUAUUUUAAGAAAAUUCUUUUUGACGACUUGCUUCUUUUGAAGUGCUUUUUCUCAUCUUCCACACCAAUUAAAAGAGAGGUUGGUUCCAACCCAAGAAAAGAGGAACGAACUCCAAGGGCUGUAUGAAUCUGUGCAUUCUUUGUCAACACCAGAUGCCCUUGGAUUGUUUACUGAAGAAAUGAUAGCACGAGAGGCUUUGGAAGAUAGUGAACAAUCAGAAGUUAGCCAUGACACAGCAGGUUUGCAAGAACAAUCUUCCUAUGGCUCUCAACUGAGAAAUUAUCUUGGACAACUUCAAUCUCUGAUUAGUGAAUCCUUAGCCGUUGGUAUUCAUUUGACCUGAACCAAAAUUAAUGGUGAUCUCUGUAUAUUUGGGAGGCAUGAGCAAUAGAAUGAUAAGAGGUUCUUGUGGUACGAUUUUCCAUCUUGAUGAUCGUAAAAACAGAUCAAUUGACGUAUUUGUUUAGAUAAUGUGAUUCGUGUCUACUUUUUGCGUCAUAAAACACAGUUGAGGCGAACAAAAAUGUUGAAGUUCGGAUCUAUUUGGUUUUCUGAAUCGGAGUUAUUAAAGGACAUUCUCUAUUGUCAGAAGGGGUGACAAUAUAUAAGAAAACGGAAAUCGUGUUUUCAGGUUUAAUUUUAUAUAAGUAGAAUGGUAAUUCUGCUUGCAAACACAAUUAAACGAAUACAAUAUAUGUAUUUAUGUUUUUAAUAUUUUUUCCUAUCUUGUAAUUAAUGUACUGAAAAUUCAAAUUGAAUUGUCGUCUUGACAUUCACAUGCAUAUUCAUAUCAGAGUAUUUAAAUGCAUAUAUAAUAUUAUAUACCAACUAUUAAAAUAUUAUUUUGAAUAUUAAAUUCUAAUUAUAACAACACAAUUUUAUAUUAAUUACUAAUAAUUUUUAUUUAAACAUUGUUUUGAAUCAAGUGAACAAAAUAAAAUUAUCUAUGAUAAAGAUAUUAAUUAAAUGAUUGUUUUCAAUUUAAUUUUAUAUAUUUAUGUUUUAAUUAAAUUUAGAAAAAUAGGUUUUUUUUAAGAGACUAUUUUUAUUUAAACUUAUAUUUUAAUGUUAACUUAGCGUGUGUUCGUUUUUGUGAAUUUGAGGGAAUGUUUGGUGGAUCUCUUCAAUUUGAGAAGAUUUGAGGUCAUUUAUAGUUAAAAGACAGUGAUUUGAGUGGAUAUUGAACAUUUGCACUGUUUGGUGGAUCUCUCCAAUUUGAGAAGAUUUGAGGUCAUUUAUAGUUAAAAGACCGCAAUGCCCUUUGUCAAUUUUCAAAAUUCCAACCCCUUAUAAUAAUAAAAAACCCUAAUAUUCAAGUAAAUAUUAAAAAACUAAAAAGCAUUUGGAUAAAAACACAAGCACUGCACUGUUGUUUCACGUGAACCUUUCACCAUAGCUCUGUUCAUUUGCAAAAGUAGAGAAUCUUUAUUUGAAUUUGAAAAACAAACUCUGAGACCAUUAAUAAAAGAGUGUGUUUCAAUGCAUUGUUUCAGUUUCAGUUUCUCCCGUGGUUUUUGCACAUGGAAGAGGUGGUUGUAGACAGUGCAUGGAAGAAGCUUGAUGAUGCAGCAGUUGCAGGAAGAAGAAGAAAUUUCGAAGAAAUUUCGGGUGAAGGAAGGACCUUAUCCGGAUACCGUGGUAACGUAUCCGGAUCCAGGGUUUUAAAGGUUUGCACAUGGUAGGUUAUCCGGAUACGUUCUUCGUGUAUCCGGUUCCACGUUUUGUGUUUGGAUGGCAGGGGUUGUUUCUGGUAAGAAAUUAUUAAAUAUAUUUAUUUUACUUUAUUACAAAUACUAUUACAAAUACUAAAUUAAUUUGGUAAGAAAUUAAUUUGAUAGUAUUUGGUAAGAAAUCAUAUUACAAACAAAUACUAAAUUAUUAAAAAUAUUUAUUUUACUUUAUUAUAUUUUUUUAAUAUUUUAUAAAUUAAUUUGAGUUAUUAUUAAUUAAUUUCCUUUCUUUAUUAACAUUUAUACUUUUAAAUAUAACAUUAAAAAAUACCAUUUUAUAUUACUAAAAUAACUAGGGGCAUUUUAGUAAUCUUAUAUUUCUACCAAUUAAACAAAUUUUUUAAUUCUAUCACAUCAAUCAAAUCCUACACUAAUUCUCACAAACUUUACCCUCAAAUCCACUCUCAAUUACCCACAAAUCUACUAAAAAAAAACAACAUAAUUACCCUCAAAUCCACUCAAAUCAUCUCUCCCAAAUCCAUUCAUAAGAACACAGUGUUAUAGAUUAAAUAUAAUUUUUAUUUAGGUUAUAAUUAUUGCUAAAUUUAAUUUCCGAUGUCUGUAUUUAUUCUCAAAUUUCUAGUAUCUUUUAAGCUCUUCAUAUUUUCAUUCAUCUAAUUAUGAGUUAGGAUUUUAUUGGAAAUUUAUUCAUCCUUUCACUUAGUAAUAAAUUGUUAUAUAAAAGUACGAGUAAGAUUGUACGGAAGGACAAAGAUGUUAAAGAUUACAAUGAGAAAGAUAUUAGACAUUACAAUAAUAAAAAAAAAUGAAGUUUAAUUUACAAAUUUUUCUAAUAAAUAAGAUUUACAAUUUUUUACUAUUUAUAUAUUAUAAAUCGGUUUUAAAAAGAUUAUUAAAUAUUUAUUAAUUUUUUUAAAUAUUGACAAACUCCAUUUUUAAACUACACAUAUAAAUUAUUUUUUCAUUUUAUCUGUUCAGGUACUUUGAUUAAGGUCAUAAAUUAUAUUUUAAUUAUUAAAGUAAUCAUGACAUGAUGUUUUAAUACACUGAUUUUUCAGCCAAUAUACAGCAUACAAAACUCUGCAUAGUUUUCUAUUUUUUAACGCUUACAACAACACAUAGAAAUACAUUAUGCAAAAUUUUUAAAUAAUGAAAUAUAGUCAACUCAAUAUAUAAGAAGUGUUAUAAUGUUUUUUUAAGCAAAAAUAUUUAGAGAAAUGAUAAAAGAAAGAAAGAAAAAGUCACUGUAAUUUAUAUUAUUAUACUAUUAUAUAUCAAACUCUGCAGUAUCUGAUAAUUAAUCAAGUUUUCUUACUUCGGGUGUGACAAAUCAAAUAUUGAAUCUAUCUACCAAAAACACAUUUUUGGGAUUACAGUUGGGCCUAUUGGGCCUAUCGGGCCGCAAGUCCAGGUUAAAUUAGAUAUCACGUGUCUCUUAUAAAGUGCCUAGGGUUUUCAGGUUUUCAGGUUUGUGCUUCCGCCUCUGCCCAGAGAAAGAGUGAAAACCUUCUUCUCUGUUACCUCCAACAAGUUGCAUCUAAUAUCAUGGUGCGUUUUUUUCUCUCUGCAAAAUCUCUUUGAAAAUGUUCUUACUUCUUUUCCAAAUCCACGUGAAUUGUGAUUGACUUUGUUGGUUAUUUCUUGCAGGCACCAAAGAAGGAUAAGGCUCCUCCACCUUCCUCCAAGCCCGCCAAAUCUGGCGGUGGCAAGCAGAAGAAGAAGGUUCGUUUCUCGUCAAAGUUCCAUUCUUUCUUAAUAUAAUUAUGUUCUGGUCCAUUUGGUAUUCCUGGGUCAGCGCCAUUACCUUUAUUUCAUCAUCUUCCAGAACUCUCUUUUUUUGUGUGUGUAUGAUUAAUACAAUACAAGGUAUGUAUGAUGUGAUGUUUUGAUUGAACUUGUGUUCAACAGAAGUGGAGCAAGGGAAAGCAAAAGGAGAAGGUGAAUAACAUGGUGCUGUUUGACCAGGGCACCUAUGACAAACUCCUCUCAGAAGCGCCCAAAUACAAGCUCAUAACUCCUUCUAUUCUCUCUGAUCGUUUGAGGGUAUGUUUUUCUUCUCUUGCUCUGUUAAUGUAAUUUUGUUAGUUGUGUGGUUUUGUAGAUACGUUAAUUUCUAGGAGAGUUCGCAUCUUUUAGUGUUGCUUUGAUACGUGUACUGGUCUAUAAAUCAACGUGGGCUACCCAAGACAAAGCAUUUCUGUUUUUCUUUUUUAUGUGUUAGUAGUUGUUUUUUGUCCAGUAUCAUGAAAGAACCUUUAAAGUGCAUUUGGUAACUGACUAAAUUGCUUUGGAGAAAAUGAAGAUGCCAUAUUCUCUCACAUUAAUGACUUAUAUCCACCGGCUUUUGCGUUAUGAUAUCUUGAACUGUUUAUUGUUCAAUAAUUGAUUAUCAACUUCAUACUUUUUCUCCUAAGUUCGUCAGUCUAACCAUUCCACUUGAUAAUGUCAUUUCUAUGCUCUACUUUUGACUUUUAAGUUAAACCUGUCUCCCUUCUGUGAGUAACACUUAUACCUAUAGUUGUAUAUGCUCAAUGACUGUCAUGAAUAAAUAAGCAUGGUAUAUUGAAUAAUAUAUAAUCAUUUUUCCUGCACUUUACAGAUUAAUGGAUCACUUGCAAGGAAGGCUAUAAGAGAACUGAUGGCUAGAGGUUCAAUCAGGAUGGUGUCUGCCCAUGCCAGUCAGCAAAUUUACACCAGGGCAACAAACACCUAAAUGUGGAAUUGUUCCUAGGUCAUGGAGUAUUCUUAGGAAUAGUGAAGUAUGUUCUCUUGAAGUUUAAGACGCAUCUCAUUGUUGCUGAAUCCAGGCUGAGAUUGUAUUUUUGGUUUCCUUCCAUGUUUUGAUCUUUUAAAAAUAUUUUGGCUCUUUUUUUACAUGUUGUGUUUUGUUUACUUGAUUUGUUAAUCUGCCGGAGAUUCUUUUGAAAGCAAAACCAAUUAGAAAAUGUCGUAUAUUUAAUGAUGUGUUUUGGCUGGGUUGGAUUACUACUAGAGUUCAGUUUUAACUGUUAAAAUCAAAAUCUGAGAACUUGAUCUACAUUUUUUGCGUUUUAUGUCAAGUAAUUUUAAACCAUUACUAGUUCAUUAGGGAUAUAUCGUCUCGUUUGGAAACAAGUAUGGCAAAAGAGUUAGGGUGUUGAGCAGUUUGAGGCAUUAAUGUCUAAAUAAUUUGACUCAUCAAUCGUGGAAGUUACACUAAAACGUAUUUAUUAUGGUUAACCAUUAAUGCUUUCUUUUAUAAUAGAAGAAGGUGGCGGUCUAAUUCAAAUCUUCACGUCUCCAAGCAUAUACUCUCCAACCACGUUGUAGACUUAGUUCAAACGUUCAACUGAUAAUACACUGUCACGUCAGAACUGAAAUUUUGCUACAAUAAGAAAUUAUUUGGUAAUAUUUCAGUGUACAUGAUCCCAUGUAUAUGUUGGAGGAUCUUAACAGAUGCUUGCAAAAUAAGGAAGCAAGACUGGAACCAGUAUACAAAAUUUCUUGAAAUUGGAACCUGUGCAUUCAAUUAAAACCAUAAUUGCUCUUGUAUAAUUUUACUGCUUUUUUCUUAUGUUUAUGGGUAUAUCUGCAUUAUUUUUCAUAGUGUGGUGAAUUACGUCCUCACCACUCCUUAUGUUUACUCAUUUCCCUUUUAGGAUAAUCUGUCAUAUAAUUGACCGUUGUUGAAUAGCUUUAUAUAUCUAUCAACCCGGAGGAAUUUAAAUUUUGUAAAUAUGGUAACUGUUUUUCUUAUACAGAAAGUGAGAAGAAAAGUGUUUGGUAAUUAAUUGGUGCUCAGAGAAUAAAAAAACUCGAAUGGUAAAUUCUAUUGAUUCCACAUUCAUAUGAACCAGAUCACUAUGAAUACGAUAGGAAUAACAAAAGGUGCACAUGGAUGGUUGCUAUUUCAUUGUAGCUGGGCAAGGUAUCCUUAGCUACGUAUAUGCAUGUAUAUUAAUGUUCAUUAAUUAGUAUAUAUGAAAUCGGGGACACAGCAAAACAUAACCAUCAUUUUUGAGAUAGACAGGUAGGAUAUGAGUUUAAAUAAUUAAAUAAUAUAUCAUUUGCAGAGUUCCCAAUACCCUCAUUCAGUUGUAGAUAGCAGCAUCAGAAACCUGCAAAGAUGCUAUUUUAUCAAAAAAAUUGUCCCUGUGAUUCAAAUGAAACUGAUAUAUAUAAUUAACUGCACAUUCAUUUGGUGACAUUUGAGUGAAAGCACUCUCAUUCAUUCUGCUUCAUAUCAUUGCCGCCUGAGGUGAAUGGUUCCUGUAGCAAAUCAUUGGGCCAAGCUCUCAGCUUACACAAGAUUGCAUGACUUUUCAUAAUCUACUUUUCCUUCUCCCUUAAAAUUUACUUUAUGACUCCCAAAAUGUCUGUAGGUGUUUGUUUUUCAGAUCUAUAUUUUGGCAGAAUGGCAUUUGCUUACACAAUAAAUGUUCAAGAAGAAUAAAACCUAUCCAUGAGGUGUUCCGAAAGGCCUCAUCUUCCACAGUACAUUUCAAUAGAGAAAUUUAGCUUACUUUUCUAUUUUAAUAAGAGGGCAUUUUUUUUAAAACUUUAUCACAAACAAUUUUCCAUUCUUUGGACCGAUUGGAGAUCCAUAAAGAAGUAAAUUAAAAGAUAUAAUCAAAAUUGGAGUUUUUCUGAUGGUAUUAAUCGAAGUGCAAUCAACACUUCAAAAUGCCACUUUCAUGUUUUUCUCAUCAACUUAAAAUGACUCAAUGAAACCUUUUGUGUUACAAGGUUAUAAUGUAUUACGCUGUAUCAUAUCAUACCAUGGAGAAAAUAGACGCGGAAAGGAACAAGUCUCAGUUUCCAACUCAAGACUCGCCAUCUGGAAGUCCCACAUUGCUCAGAAUAGUAUACAAAUUAGUCUUUAUAAAUCUUCUGACAAACACAUCAGUUCGCCGAGCUGGGUAACGUCAGCUUGUAACCUUAGUGGGGGCAUCAAGGUGAUUGAACAAGGCUAUGGCUUGCUAAGCUGGUCUGGAGGCUGCAUCUUGCUGGCUUGCCCACUCCAAGUCAGGAGUUGAGACAUGGGAUCUUUGCGAAGGCAAAGGUUUCCUGCUUCCUAGACAGGAGGGCACAGCGUGAGGCUGGUUUCACAGAGCAGCGACCACCUCCGGCUCUUGACAGUGGAGGGAUAACAGGCUGCUGCAUCUCCAUUCCUAAUCAAGCUUGGUGAGCCUUGCUCUUGAACAGUCAUUUUUUUCUUUUAAGUAGAAAGAAGAAAGAACUUGUGCAUGAAUUACUAGAUAAUAUUUUUUAUUUAAUUACCCAGACUGAACAGAGUUAGUUUAGACGAGAUUUUAUCUUAUUGUUUAGUAGGACUUUGUAGCACUGAUAGAAUAAGAUCAAACUAUAAUUUUUGUCUAUUUCCCUCGUUGACAGGAUGUUGCAUUCCUUGAAUUUGAGCACACUCAAUUAUUUGAUCAACUUUUCUUCUUGAUUCACAACGUUUAUUGAUCAACUUUGAUUAAAAAUGAAAAUGAUGCAUGAACAUGGCCAUCUAGGUAUGUCUAACCAAUUACACCUGAUGAUUGAAAAUAGGAAAAGAUUUCUUUCAACCUUGACUCAUUUUUGUUAGCAGGCAAGUUGAGAAUAAUUGUUAUUACAAAUAGAAACAUCCCCUCCUCCUACCGACAGAAAACUCAAUUAUGAUGCUAAGUCCACAUUGGUGGGUAUUGUAGAGGAAUACGAGUUUCUUUCAUGUGCUCUUUAUUUUUCUGUAACAUACACCAAUUGGUUUUUACUUUUCUAUUAUUGAAUUCAAUAUGCAGCUAGGCUCCAAGCCUACAACUUCUGGAUGCUUCUUUUUUGUUGCUAAUUGUAUCCUUUGUUCACCAAUCUCUUCAAACUGCAAUCAUGUAAAUGCAAAGGAAAGUCGGCAAUUGAUCCAUAAAUAAGAGGGAAGCAACUCAACAAAAUAUGUCAUAUGUUUUCUGAUCUACGACAGUGCAUGAGACUUGACCAACAAUAUAUCACCUCCAUCUAGAAAACAAAAAAUAAAGUCUAAUGUUGAUGUUCUUGUUUCUUAAUCAAAGUUGAAAAUUCGUGUUGUCGUUAGUUCAACAGACACGUUUUGUUGCCACGAUGCUGUUUAGGAAUAGAACCACUUUCUCCACUUCCUGACAAAAGCUUCCAUUACAAUGCUACUCCGAAAAUUUAGAAUUUUCUUAUCAGCAACCUGCAAAAGAUACCAUUUUCAAACAACCAUGUGAUGCUCAAGUAAAAUACAAAGAGUAAACUAUAUAAUCAUAGAUAUUAGAUUCAAACCAGGAUGAUAUAAUUGCUAGCUCCUGUGGUGACAUCUAGGAACAGAAAUAUUCUACUUGUCUCCCUCAAUUCUUUUGUUAUAUAUGGAGCUGAUGUAAAACACCAAGACUCAGACUUCAGAACAAGUUGUGCAUAUCAUCUCCUACUUCUGUAUCCCUCUAUUAUCUUCUCUAACAAGAGUAAAUGGAAACAAACUCAAAGAAGUCUCUGCACAUUCGGUGCAACAGUUUGCCCUCUUCACCUCACCCACUUUUAUCACAAUUCCAGGAUCACUUGCAGAGAAUGAAAGACUCCGAAGCCACCAGCACUUGUCUGUCAUCAUCUUCAAUAAGCCAAAAACUACAUGGUUUGCAGGAUUUGCAUGACUAUGCCGAUAAGCUGUUCCAGUUGCCCAGUAUCAGACAAGCCUUUGCACGAGAAUGCAGUGAAAAGUGUGUUAUGUUCUGUUAGAAGGGUCACUGACACUCCUUGAUAUCUGUAGUACAGCCCAAGAUUGCCUCUUGCAAUCAAAGGAAAGCAUGACAUGGUUUAUUCAGUUAUUCGAAGAAAGGGUGCUACACUGAAAGGAAUGAACAGCGAGUUAAUGGAUAAUGAGACUUUGCCUAUCCUUGGCAUCUUAAAAGAAGCAGAAGCAGUCACCAUGAAGUCCUUAGAGUCCUUGUUGCUGUUUGUCUCUGACUCUAAGGGUCAAUCAAAGCAGAAAAGAUGGUCAAUAAUAUCUAAGCUGAUGCAGCCUGAUGAAUAAACUGUGACUCUCAAUAAGACACAAAUGAAUUUGUAAAGAUGGACACAACUUUGCAAUCAAUCCUUAAUAACAAGCCUUUGUCUAUUGAGAAUUUGGAGACAUGCAUUGAGGAUAUAGAAGUAGGCGUUGAACACCUUUCAAGGAAACUCAUUAAAACAAGAGUAUCCCUUCUCAACUUCUUCAGCCACUAGUUGGAGAAAAAACAAUCUAAAUGUUGUAUGCGAACACCAAGUUCAUUUUUUGACCUAUUGUUGUACACAGAUGUAUUUAAAACUUGUCCUUUUACUAAAUACAAUAAUCAAAUGAUGAAACUACAUCCUUUCUUUCUUUCUUUCUUUAUAUGUAUAGAAAUUUCCUUCUUCUCUUGCUUUCUUUCUUUCUUUCUUCGCAAAUUCUUUGUCCAUGUGUGAAUUUUGUUUGCUUGAUUGAAGGAUUGAAAAAAGUGACAGCCACAGUUCCCCUUACGAAGUUUCUUUCUUUGGAAAUUCUUACGUAGGUCUGAAUUGCUAUUCAAUGGACAGAAGAAAGUGA
rnacentral:lncRNA from 1 species